rnacentral:lncRNA from 1 species
AGUAUGGAUGCCUAAAAGGGACUGCCCUGGACUGGCUAUGGCAAGAGCCUUUAGAAAUUUUUGCCUAAAAGACUAUGGUGUCGCCUCAGUCCCUAACGUGUCUUAAAGAAAACUUACCAAGGAGGAUAACUGUGUGGUUUUGGCUUCUAAUGGGGUAAGCAUUUUCAUAUCAGGAUGUCAACUUCGAAUUUUGGAUUUUGAUUCUUGAGUAAUGUUGGAGCAAAUAAAGCUCUUUACUCACACUCACACUAUGCACUCACUCACUCUAUGUUAGAGAAUAAGAGAAGAUGAAAGAAUUGAUUGAGAAAAUAGAGGAAACUUAGAAUUCUGAAUUAGAACUUCUGCACACUCUCAUUCUUUCUCAUUCAUGAUCACUAUUAUUUUUAUAUACAUUGCACAUGUAGCUAUAACAACCUUCAUAGCUAUCAAACUAACUAACUCCUAACUAACUGAAUUACAACAUACAUCAACAAGUAAUCAGUUAUAGGAAUAGAACAAUCAUUGUUAGUGUUUAAAUUAUGCUCAAUUCUCGUAUUCCUCUCAAUCCAAAUAUGUUUGCAAAUAUUUGAUCAAAUAGUGUAAGAAAAGAAAUAACCAAGAAGGUUAAAUGAAUUAACAGCAUGUAGUUUCCACACAUACGUGUUUAGUUCAUAUUGAACAAAAAUUAGAUGCAGUUUGUUUUAUAAAUGCUUUCGUUGUUGUCUUUCAAUUAGAAUUGGAGUUUCACCUAAUAAUCCGUGUAAUAAAGGUUUCAAUUAAAAGUCAACAUAGACUACUACCGUGAAAUCCAAUUUUGAUUGAAGAACAAUGUUAAAAGCACCUGUAAAACUGUAUCUAAGUUUUGUCCAAGCAUAUUUGGCACAAAUAAUAGCUUACUUUUAUCAAUUUCCUAAGAGAGCUUUUAAUCAAUAAACAACAACCAAUUAACUUCUCAAAAUUUAUCCCAACCAAAAAGGUCUAAAUUUUCUUUCUUACAGAUUUGGGAUUGUGCUAACAAACCGUGAAGUAAUAAACAUAGUUGCUUCAGCACCAAAAAGGUCCGUGGCAGCCAAAUUGUUAGUAAACCAUGUUGUUCGGGCUUGGAAAUAUAAGUAUGGUUUCAAGGUUGAUGAUUGUUCAUCCAUAUGCUUGUUCUUGAAGAUUAGCCUGCUAUAACCCAAUCCUGAUCCAAAGUUAGUGGGAACAAUAGACAUCCCUUGAAGCACCUGCAUUUUUCAUAAUCUAGACAUGUAAAUACUGAAAUUGUAGAUAUGGCAAUAGUAUGGUGGAAUCAAAAGGAAGAAUGGGAUGCUCUUGGAGGGUUCUCCAGAGCCAACUUUGAAUUAUAAAUUGCAAUCACCUCAGUACCUCAAGGAGGGUUGAAGCUGAUCACUAACUCAGCCAGAAACUCCCCGAAUCCAAGGGCUAGUGCUACUAACAAGUUAACAAUUGUAGGACCUGAAGAUUUUGCUUUUGACACAAUCCCAGAAUAUAGCAAUUAUUUUAGCCUUCUAAUUCUGCCAUGAUCACUGAUAACUGCUAAAUAUGAGUUAUUUUGAUGAUAAAAAUAUAUUGAAAAUAUCUUUAAAAAUAUUUAUUUAGCAGUUAUCUUUGACUUAAAUAUUAAGAUUUGAUAUUUUUCUUAUUUAUGACUUGUAGAUAUGAAAAUGAGAUAUUAAAAGAUAUCAAAAAGGAAAAUUUUUAGCAUCAGGCUCAAGUCCACUACAACAACUAAAGGGAGUCAAGCCAAGAAGAAAAAUAAUACAAUGGAACCCCUCUCCUCUCCUAGGAUUUACUUUCUUUCACCCCUCUUAUCUCAAUGCAAAUGUGUUUUCUAUUCUAUUAUUUUUCUGCUUUUAUCUUGCAUUAUUCAUCUUUAUAUUCUGUUAGAGGCUUCAUGCAUUUUAUUUGUUGAGUCUUUGCAAAGGAAGGUAGAAGAUAGAUAAAUAAAAUAGGUUUGUCAUCAUGAGGGAUCAGGGGCAAGUAAUUGAAUAGAUGUGGGUAGAACAGAGUCACCUAAAUUGAUAAAGAAAAAUCAUAAACUCAUGCAUCUUAGACAAACAAGGCAGGACUCAAUCUUAUCAAAUUUUGAUUUUAUUUUAUUUUUAUCUUUUACUUUUCUUAUCUUAUCUUUUAUCUUCUAUUUUCUUUUAUCUUUAUCAUAUCUUAAUUUAAAUAUUUUAUUUUCUCUAUCUUCUAUUUUUAUCUUUAAAUCUUUUAUCCUUUCUUUUAAAUCUUUAUCUUAUCUCCUAUAUUUUUUUAUCUUUAUUUUAAAUUAUUUAUCCUUUGCUUUUAAAUUAGGUUUGCAUUAAUCUAAGUACAAACAAAGUCCUUGUGGAUUCGACACUCGAACUUUUAAGUAUUUUAUUUUUUGUGACAAUUUGGUAUACUUGCGAACGAGUUAACAAUUACAUGCAAGACUUCUUUUCUAUCUGUCUAAGACCAACAUUGAUCAAUUUUAGCACUCUAUAUUAUGGUACCAUAAAACUUUUCUUUUGUCUGGCUUGGUUCUAAAGAGUUCAAUGAAGAACUAAGCAGCACCUACUUUUCUAUCUAUCUUCAAUUAUUUCCUAUAGUGUGUUGUGUUGACACUAACAUUCAGCAUAAAACAUUACUAGACACUAGAACCAGAGGAUUUUGGAAUUUUACAUACCAAAAAUAUAGUAUUAAUAGAUUGCUGAUAAUUCAGAGGGGUUAUACUAUUGCUGAGCAUUUUGAAGCUUAAGAAUGAAUCUACAAUUGUAAAAAGUGAUCAAUUAACAACCCAGCCUAAGGUUUUUUUUUUUUUUUUUUAAGCCGAAGGAAAUGAAACUUUAUCAACAACUUCCAGAACUUCUGGAAAGAGAUUACAACACCAAAAAAAUGCUAUUUGACCGAAAAGCCUGCCUUAGAAUUAUAAAAAGCAACACCAAAGUUGAAAAAAAAAGUUAUAAUAUAUUGUCCAUUCAUAAUAAAUAUCUAAAUUUUGUAUUUGUUUUUUAUGAAAAAAUUACAUGAAAUUCGUAAUAAAAAAAUAUCAUUUGUUAUUAGCCUUUUCAAAUGGAAAAAACAAUUUAGAUAUUAAUACUUAAACAUAAAAUAUCAUUUGUUAUUAGCCUUUUGGUUAGGUAUCACGUUGGGCCUUAGGCUUUUUAUUGGUCAAGUGAUCAAGGGAAUUACUUCCUACAUUCCAUUUUUUUUCUUGCACCUCACAAAAAUCUAAGCAGGCAAAACUACCCCUCAAACACCACCACCACCACCACCGUAGCCCCACCUCCACCCAACCACCAGCACGCAAACAGCACCACCCAACACCACCAUUGAUGAUUUUGGUGAAAGGAACAAAGUGAAAAUGGAAUCGAAAACCAACGAAGAGGUGUAAAGUGCAACCCCAUUCUAGAUACAUGAAUUUGUAAGACGCUAAUUUUGUAUACACUUCCAGAAUAAUAUUUUUCAUAUUCCAAAAUUUGUAUUUUAGAAUACGUUUCUUGAUUACUUAUUCGUAUUUUGGAAUAUGAAAAUCCUAUUCCAUAAUAGGUAUUUCGCAAUAGGAAUAAGUAAUCCAAAAAGGUAUUCCAAAAUGCUUAUUAUGAAAUAUGAAAAAUCAUAUUUUGGAAUAGGCAUUCCGAAAGUGUAAAAGGCCAAAUUUCUCUUUUUCGCACAAAUGGAAAAUCUCACACCCCAUUCGCAUAUGCCCUACUUUAUCCCUUCAUUUCUCACCACCAAUUCUACAGAUACCUUCUUCUCCUUCUCCUCAUUUCUCAUUCAUUUGUGCAUUGAGAUCCAAGAUAUAGACCAAGGAGCACUGCCAGCUACAAAUCCCAUGAGGGCACAAUGGUGUUCGGAGUGUGAUUGUGUUGAGGCACAAUGGUUAUGGAGGCUUCAUGGCUAGGAUUUUUUGGGAGAGGCAAGGACAGAAGAUGUCUGGUAAGGGGUAUUCUUGUUUUUUGGAUGGUGUAGGAAGAAAAAAAGUGGUGCAAGAAGUGAUUACCACUAAUCAACUAUUAACUUGUGAAAAACCUUUGUACAUGUUUCUGUUGCGUUUAGCAAUUGGUAGCAAUGACUAAUUUGAAGUUAUUUAAAAAUAUUAGAGACUAAAAUAAAAUUUCUAAAACAAACAAUCAAACUAAACCAAAACUAAAACAUAAAAAGGAUAAAAUAUGUAAUUUAGCAACAAGAAAAAUUCACUUGACUACAAAAUCAUUUUUUAUCACACUCAUCCAAACAUGUACAGAUGUACUUAAUUUUUCAAGGAUUCAUAUCCAUUUACAACAGUACAAAACAGUACAUGAUCCAUUGUAAAGGCCCAGCAGCUAGUAAAUUUUAAUUUUCAGUGGUAAGCAAAAAAUUCAACCAAAAAUCGUUCAGAACAAUGCGUUGCCAUUAAGUCUUCUAUUAUGGCGAAANNNNNNNNNNNNNNNNNNNNNNNNNNNNNNNNNNNNNNNNNNNNNNNNNNNNNNNNNNNNNNNNNNNNNNNNNNNNNNNNNNNNNNNNNNNNNNNNNNNNGUACUUGUUAGCAGAUACAAUGAAUGGCAAUUUUUCAUAUAACGAGCUCCUUUUCACAUAUGUCAAUGCUUCCAAUAGUGGUUUGAAUUAAAGGUGUGCUGUACAAUUGUCAUUUGUCACAGCAAACUACUACAAUCAAUGCACAACCUAUGAUGAGAGGACAUUGUGUACUACUCCAAUUGCAAAACAACAAAUACUCCAUUCCAAUGUAUAUGGUACGCAAUUUGAUAUAUUGUGGUACGUGGAAGAUACUACUUAUGAUCAGAGGAUCUAUCGCCAUGACUCAUAUAUUAUGUUUCUUGUCACGGUUGAUGUUGAGUUAAAUGGACCAAGUGGGAGAAUGUUGGAAGCCCACGUUCCACGUUCCAAUUUUUAUUCCCAUUACAUUAUUUUAGAAAAUUUUGUUAUUUCUGAAUCUGGUCCAUUUUCCAUCUACAUUCAACCCAUAUCUUUGCAACAUAUUUGCAACCACCUUCAGUAACAAAUCAUGUACCCAUUCUUUAUCUCACGAACUGAUAACUUCUAUCUCACGUUCUGAUAACAAGUUGAGCUAUACGAUGGACAGACUCUAUAAAUAAGAUGGGGUGCUCUCAGUUUUGUAUCACGAAACUCACUUGUCUAUUCAGAAAAAAUACAUCAUCUAUUCAGAGCGAGUAACUGUCUAGAAGAACAAAACUUCCUUUCAGGUUCGUGUGUGCGCCGCUUCGCGUUCGAUUUGCAAUGACUGGAGGUACGCUCGUAAUAUUUAAUUUCCGCUGUUUGAUCUGAAUAUGCCACUUAAAUUGAUUUGCAUGUUUAGAUCAGUAUAAGUAUAUUUUAAAUAUCCUUGUACUCUUAGUGUUACGUGUUGGUAAGACUAUGAUGGCGACUGGUGUGACGUUGCCGAGUGGAUCUUACUCCCUUUGUUGCAGCUAUCACGGGGGACCAUGGCGAUUGCCACUAUAUCCCUUUGGAUUCCCUCUAAGUUCUUCUCUUCGAAGUUGAUUUCAUUGUCUUUAUGAUGGUUGUUAUCAACGAACAAUGAUAAUGGUUUCUUAGAGGCAUGAAAAGGAUGUUGUUGACGAGUUUCAUCUUUGUUUGAUGUUGGCAAGGGUGUUGGUGUCUGUGGGUAUGUGAUGUCGUUAAGAUUUUCUUAUUGUGACACCUUCUACCCCGACAUAUAUAUAAAUAAAUAAAAUAUAUAAAAAUAUCGAUAAACAAAUUCACGUGGGUGAAAGGUUUACAUUCACUUCACUAUUAUCAAUUAAAACUUAUUAAAAACGUAUUCGGCUCAAAAUAAGGCCGUCAAAAUUUACAAAAAUAUUUUGUUAAAUCAGUGAGGUAAAAUAAAAUAGACUAACAUCAUACAAUUAAUAUAAAAACUUAUGUCUCAAUGUCACAUCCUAUCAGAGUAUUGUGUCCCGACGUCCUUCAGCAAACGAUUCCUUAAAGUAAUUCACCUAGUCAUCUGCUCCCCGAACACAAAGUUCUAGAUCAUCACAAGAUCCAAGCACAAAUAACACAUCGGGAGUGAGUUAUCACAUUCCUAACUAAUAGAGAAGCAAGACAACUAGAUAUACAUAUCAUAUAAACAAAAUAAAACUUACUUAAACAUAACUCACGUAAUUCAACCACUUUUCAUUCAAAAUUCCCUUUUCAAUCAUCAAUCAAAUCACACAAAAAUCACACACUCCGAUCAAGACAUAAUAACACAUAAAUUUCAUAAUAAACAAUUAGCAAACGUAUGCAACAAUUAUGCUAAGACUCAAGCCUAUAUGCAAUGUGGUACCAUGUCAAUGAAAAAUCACCCUGGGGCACUUAGGAGUACAUAACAAGACAAACCACACACUAGCAAGUCAGGUCACUCUCACUAGAUAAGAUCAUAGGGAGACCAAUCAGGGUCACAGUAUUUUGCGAGAAUGCUCCAACCAUAUGGGAUCAACAUAGGCUUAAAGGAGCACUCAAACCGGGUGACCUCCAAGGCCUACACUCCAAAGAGUCCGUCAAGGUCUCUCCCUCCUGAUUCAGGUCCAUCUCAGAAAAUAUUUUAGCACACAGAUUCUAUCUAUGAACUAUACAAAACACACGAAUUCUCAAUUGUUCUCAAAAUAGUUUUAACUCGUUGCCCUUUAAGAGUCUUAGCAUUAACUCGUCUCCCUUAAAAAGUUUUAGCAUUAACUCGUCGCCCUUAAAGGGUUUUAGCAUUAACUCAUCGCUCUAAAAGGGACUUAGCAUUAACUCGUGACCCUUAAAGGGACUUAUAGUCGUGUGAUUGUACUAUUCAUAGUUCAUAACUCAAUGCACACAACAUCUCAAUCACGUGCACACACACACACACACACACACACACACAACAUGUUGAUUAUCCUCGUGGAAAAAUAUAGGAUAAGAUAAUAAUUCAUAUAAAAUAAGUCAUUAAAAAUAAUACUAUUUAGAAUAUAAUUUACGUUAAUAAAAAAAGCUCAAUUUUUUUAGGUUCACACUCAACAAAAGAACACAUUAAUUUCACAACAAUUUCUCAUUGGGACAUCAACCAGUUCAUGAAACAUAUAUAAUUCACAGUUACAAUUAUAAGGAUAAAAUAAAAAUUGCAGAAACACCCUAAAACUCAUUCCAAUUGACACUCUAAGGAUCCCUACACAUGUUCUCACUAAUCCCCAAUUGUGAAUAACUCAUUCAGUACCUCUAAGCGGACUCACGUGUCUUCCGAAAGCAAUAGCGACAUCUCUAGCAAUUUCCUGAGAUUCCUCAAUUUUUUCCUCUGAUUACUCUGAUAGAAUUCCCAAACGUUAGAGAGAAAGACAGGGAUUGAAACCUCCAUUUUGUACCGUCUUCGUGCGAUGCAUCUUUCUCCAUCCAAAGAUAUUAUUUUGCAAAUCCAACUAUGAAGUCGUGCGGAAAUGAAUUUCGAACCACAUAUCAAAAUUGGACGACAAUCCAACGGUUAAUGAAUCCAGGAUCAUAGUUUUACCGAGACAGUUUUGGGCUUCUGCUGGAAAAUAAAAGGCUAAUAUGCGAAGGGUAUUUCUCUCAGUUUAAUCAUGAUUCCGAAAUUCCCAAUGGUGAGAGUGCUCAGAAUUAGGUUGUGAACCUGAUGCUUAAAUUUCACGACAAUCCAAUGAUGAAUGAGCCUGAGAUCAUCAUUUUUGUGAGACAUGUUUGGUGGUCUGUGGAAAAAGAGAGGAUUUUGGGAAGAAGAAAAGAAAAAAACAAAAUUGAGAGGCAGAGAGGAGGCAGAGAAGUCAGUUUGAAGACUGACCUAGCAUGUCGCUAUUUAUACCUAGGGUACUUACAACUUAUUAUUUACUCUAUUUAUUUAUUUAUUAUUUUAUAAAAACAAACUCUAUUUUAUUUCCUAUCAAAUCAACAAAUCAAAUAUAUUUUUUCUUCAAAUAAUUAUUUUAAUACAACUAUUUCUCUUUAUUUAUUUAAUUAAAAAAACCUCAUCAUUUUUUUUUCUAAAACUCUAUUUAUUUUAAAUGAAAAACUUUUUUAAUUUAAUUCACGAAAAAUGAAAUGUUACACCUAUAACAUUCUGACACAUCAAAAGAUGAUUCCGUUGAUGGUUAUUGGCGGGGCAACAACCACAAGGGGAAGAUGAGGAAGAGUAGAAGUAACACUUAUGGUGAUUUUUGAUAGUGCACGAUGGCUAAUGUAGAGAGAAAAUAGAGGAGUAAAUUGAAAAAAAAUAGGAAAAAAACAAAAUAAAAAAGAAAGAAGAAAAAAAUUGUCCAUUAAAUUAAAAAUCAAUGUUUCUAAUGGCUUGAAAUAAGUUUCAAAUAUUGAGAGAGAUGAAGUGAGGUCCCACUCCAACGAUCUUGAAGAAAUUACUCCAUAUAUGUUUGUAUAUAUAAGACUUAAUGAUUGUCUAGGAUGUUUGUUACAUGUGAAAAGUUGAUCAAAGUUUUAAAAAUAAUGUGAGACCCACAUGUUUUUCCUUUUUAUCUCAAAAAGAGAAUAAGAGGCAGGAAAAGAAAUAAUAAAAAGGAUGCAAUACACAAAAUUGUUGGUUGCUAAAAUUGUCCCUCAAGCCCCUCAUUAACCCUCGCUAGAACUUUCAAAUUAGGGUAUCAUGUCACAUAUAAUAAGUUAUUCAAAUGUCAUAGUUGAUUAUGCUUAAUUUGGAAUCAAGUUUGCUUUCUAGUGACUUUUACUCAAGGUAUAAUCAAUUAUAUAUGCAAUUUGUAUAACUGUUUAGGUGACUUUAAUUUGUAAAAAACUAUACAUUUUUAUCUAAUAUAUAUAAUUACAUAAACGUAUUUUUUUGGGGUAAAAUGAGCGUUUAUUUAAUCUCUUUUUCAGUUUUUUUCUUUUAUUAUUGACCUAAACACUUUAAUUUAAACAUUAAAUUUCUUUUACACUUUUUUCAUCUCAAUCAAAUAACUUUAUUUUUCACUCUUUUUUCAUUUUUUUUAAGAGAGUCUCUUCUCAUAUCAAAUAAAUUAUAGUUUAUUUUAAUCAUUUUAUUAAUAUUACCACGCAAAAAAUGUUUUUUGGAAAUGCAUCAAUACCCAAAGAUGUGGAUAAAAAAUGUUAAUAUAAUCAUUCAAUGAAAAUUUCUUUAUUAUCUUAAAAAUAUUUUUCUUUUGAAUAAUAAAUAUAAUUUUCACAAUUAGUUGAGUGUAGUUUGUUUUUCAGAGAUGGUAGAGUGGCCCAGAGAAACUGCAACUCUCAAUGGAUAUGAAUUCAACUUUGAACAAGAUCUAAACAGAACUUCUGAUUUAAUUGACGUGAAAGUGAUCCUUUCUCAAUAGCUGAAUUUUUAAUUGCAAAGCUUUUCAUUGGGCACCAGACUAUAAGAGGCCAACUACAUAGGAUAAUCUGAGAUAUUUCAGUAAGGCAUGCGUCCCAUGUAUAUAUUGGCAGAUAACUGAAAAUGUUGCAUAUCCUUUAAUUUCUAGCCAUUUCAAAUUCUUUGGCAAAACAUAUCUGAGGUUUUGUUUUUUCCAUUAUUAUUGUGUUGUAGGAAAUUGUAGUAUACUGCUCUCUACGAAGGUUAUCCAUUGAUGCAAGGAAUGAUAUAUGUUGAGGUUGGAUUUCCACUUGAAUCCCUGAAUUUUUUUCAAGUUGGGUACGUCAGUAUUUGAAAUGCUCAAAGUUGCCUAUACACUACUGAUAUGCACUUGACACCAGUUCUCUGAAUGGGAUAGAACUAGAAGAAAGGAAUCAUACAUGCAAAGCUUUUGAUGCAAAAGAUCAGAGUGGAGGUUUGGGUCUCAUCAGUGUGGAAGGGUUCCAUAAUCUCGAAGAAAACAUCAAACUUCCAUAAGAAAAGCUUGAGCACCUUUUUGGUACAGGCUUCGUAUGGCAAGUCAUUUUGAAUCCAAACAAAAACUCGGGAAGUUUGAGGGAUGAAUGAUGGCUGAUGAUGGGUAAGGUUUUUGAUCAUUGGCAUUUUAAUGGAACUACUAAAUCAAAGAUAUAUAUGGAAGUCAUAUAAAUUUCAGAGGUGAAACUCCACUACAAUAGCCCAAGUUUAGUUUAUUCAUGACCAUGAUUCUUUUUUCAUAUUAUUCAAAUGUCAUAAUCUUAAAAUUAUAUUUUUUUUCGUGGAUUGUCAGCAUGCACAACUUCUAAACAGCUGGACAUUCCAACAUUGUACAAUUUUUUGGUUUCAAAAGAGUAAGCAUUAAGAAAUGUUUUGAUUUAUGAUUUGGCAAACAUCCAUAGCUUACCACUUUUUCUUAAAACUGUUUAAAAUUAACUACAUUAUUUUGUUUGUUUGCAGGAUGCUGACUGAAUCUCAUACAUAUAGAAUGUGUCCAUCUUGCUUCGAUUGAGAAACAUAAUAAUGUAGGACUUCACCUCACUUAUAUGAUACUCAACCUUUUUACUUCUACCAGAUGUGAGACUUCACCAAAAUGUAGUUCACAAAAUUUUAUAUCAAAAACUUCUGUUACUAUUUUUUUGUGUUGGAUUAUUUGCGUCACCCAAAUGUAGUUCAGUGUUUCAAUCACAUGCUAGAGGUGCUUCACAAUAUAUAUGUGCUUUGAAGCAAAAUAGCAUCAGUAGAUGCAUUGCUAUACAAAUAGUAUUUUGUGUAUAAAGCUGAUCUUGCAGGACUAAGGGUGGAGGAAGUCAUGGCAAGUUCUGAAGAUAGAAGAGUGCUUUGGAUAAGGGAAGAGAAUAGGAUUGAUACAUGCCUUAAGCCAUUGGUAGUUUUGUAGCAGAAAAAUAUAAUAAGCAAGGAAGAAGAGAAACAAUACAAGGUGGAGGAAAUAUAAUAAUUUUUGCUUAAUCAAAUUAUUCUGAGCAGCAAUACAAUAUAAAGGAAAACAAAAAUUAAUCAUUUAUUAAUUUCAGGAAAACUGAAAAUUUUAAGUGACUUGCUCCUAAAUUUUAGUAAUAGCUUUAAUCCAUAACAAAAACAAAUAAAAACAAAAUAUGUAGUUACAAAAAUAAUUUAAAGAAAUUUAACACUCCUCCUUGCUUUAGGAAAUGCAAACUCCAAUACUUUUCCUGAAGAGUUCAAAUUUGUUGAUAGGCAAUAGUUUUGUAAACAUGUCAGUCAAUUGAUCUUCAGACUUAUAGUAAAUUAAGUUCAUUUUUCCACUUUGCUGCAUCUCUAUCAAAAAAUAGAAUUUGAUGUUGAAAUGUUUAGUCUUCCCAUGACACACUGGAUUGCUUGUAAUAGUAAUGGCUGCUUGCACUACUAGAAUUAUGGCAUUCUACAUCGCGCGAUCUACAACGGUUCUGGAGAACCGUUUUAGUAAAAGGCGCGGUGGCAAUUUUGCAAUUAUAGAGAAAAAAAUAAUUUUUCACGUCGUACAUUUUAAGGCGGUUAUAAAUAACCGUCUUAGAAUGUAUGGUAGUGACAAACUUGUAAUUACGUACAACGAAGUCAACGACGGGUUUUGACCUAGGACCGUCGUAGUAUUACGAAUAUAAAAACUAACCUAAACCCGCGGCGCCGCUACUCAGUCAUUCUCGCAGACCAUUCACGUUUCUUCCUCAGUCAUUGUCGAUCUCCGUCAAACUUUUUACCUUGCCCCUUGAAGCUCACCCACAUGGUGUACCUCAAACCCUGAACCUCACCCACAUUGUGUACCUCAAACCUAGCCUGCUGUCUCAAAAAUAUCAGGUUAUACGCCAACUGUAAAGGACAGGGUUAUAACUUCUAAGUGGAUCAAAUUUCUUGUGAAUAGUCAACAUCGUGCAGUCCAUGUCCCAAUUGCCCUAGCNNNNNNNNNNNNNNNNNNNNNNNNNNNNNNNNNNNNNNNNNNNNNNNNNNNNNNNNNNNNNNNNNNNNNNNNNNNNNNNNNNNNNNNNNNNNNNNNNNNNCAACGACGAUUGUUAUUCUUCCCUCCCCUCGUCGCAUGCAACUUAUCUAUCAUAUUUCUCAAAUCUAAAAGGUACUCCAAUUAUUUGUCCUUUUUAUCAAUCAAUAGCAACUACUACAUGUUAUAUAGUUUAUUCUUAAUUUUCGGAGUAACGAUAAUAUUGUUGAUGUUUUAUAUUUUUCACAGGUUGAGUUUUUGUUACGAUGAAAGUGAUGAAGAAGGGGAAAAGACACUCACACAGUGGGGAAAAGAAGAAGAAUAAGAGGUACAGGGAACAAAACCUUGAUGUUGAGAUAAUUGUUGCCACGCAGAACAGUGAAGGUAAACUAUGUUGAUAUUAUGCUUUCAUAUUCAUCGCAUUUUGUUGAGUUGUCCCUGAAAUAAAGUGGUUGUUUUGUUUCAUUGGAUAGUGCCAAUGGAAUGCAGGUUAAAGAGGCAAAAAAGGAGAAAACUUCCAUCAACAAAAAGAGAAAGAGCAAGGACAAGAAUUUAGUUAGGAAAUGAAAACUGAAAGGCCAAGAGGUUGAUUUGGAUGAGCAAAGUGGUGAGUGAUGAUUAUUGGGUGUUGGCUUGUAGAACUGUUCAUUACUUUUCUAAUGCUAUAUUGUAUUAAUUUUGUUUUUGUUGUUAUUGUUUCUCCCUGUUCUGGCAUCUAGUAUACACCUCUUUUAUAAAAUUAAGUAAACUAAUGUUCAUUCUCAACAUCUUUGUUUUUUUAACCAAUGGUGUCAGAUGGAGUAAUGUACAAUCCUCAUUGUAAAGCUGAGGAGAUCCAAGGGUUAGAUGGGCACAGAGAUUCUGAUACUGGAGCAGCUAUCAAACCAUGUAAUAAAAUACAUUUUCUGGUGGAUUUCACUCUUGCAUUUGGAAACUAUACAUUCGUUUUCACAUGAAAUUUGUCCUGCUUUUGUAGGUAGGUCAAAGAAAGACAAGAAGAAAAGAAAGGAGGUUCAAGAUUCACCAGAAAAGGAGGGAGAAGGGUGCAAUCAGGUGGAAGUUUAUAUUAUUUCCUCUGUUGAUGAUGACUGCUCAAAAGGAAUGAAAAGUAUGAAUUGUUUGUUUAACUGUAGUGCAUUGCUUUUUUGUUUGCUUUUAAAACUCCAAACAUUAUUCAUUUAAAACUUUUAUUUAAAUGUAUAGUUUCUAUUUUGUGAGUCUAUUUAAAUGUAUGAUUUUUAUGUUAACUUUCAUCUAUAGAUCUCGCGGCGCCGCUACUCAGCCAUUCUCGCAGACCUUGUGCACUAUGUUGCUUUUUUAGAGUUAAAACUUAGGAAAUCACAGCUAGGACAAUAAUAAGAAAAAAUAUAUAUACUGAUUACUUAAAUAUAUAUACCUUGUUUCAGCUUCAUGAUGGUGAAUGAAUACUGAUUACUUAAAUAAUUAUUUUUAAAUGUUUUUUACACCCCUCAUUCUGGGUUGAAGUAUUAGAUGUUUAUAUAUCACUUCAAGAAGGGUGUUAUCUCCUUUCCUUUUCAUAUUUUACUCCUUUUAUUUUAAUUCUUUUGUUUCUAGGUGUAUCAUGCAUUCAUGCUGUAGUCAAGAACUCAAAAUACAAUACUUGUUGAUGGGGUCAAGGUACACAGUGAUGAUACCAUUGUCAUUAAGGACGGAAGUCAAAUUAUCCCAAGUCCCGAUAGAGAAUGUCAGAUUCUUUUAAUAUUUAUGGCAGUGUAACAAUUCCUAUUAUUAGCAAGAUAUAUGGAAUAGAAAAUUGUAAAAGUGUGUUGUAUGUGUAUCAUUCAAUUGUUACAGUUCCAUAAAGUAGUAUUGCCAUUGUGCUACUGUCAAUCCAUUGAUUUGUUUCAAGCAAAGUUGUAUUGUUUAGUAGCAUGUUAUAUUGUUUUCUUUAAUAAGAUUUAAACUUGGUUUCACAAAAGUGGUAAUAUUAAUUGUUCAGCAUGUUAAAUUACUAAGUUAAUAGAGGGCUUCAGGAUGAAAAACAGGUGAUUGAUUGGUCAUCAUAUUGACUUGGACAGUAAUGUAGGCAUAAACUAUAACAUAUUUGUCCCUGUUUUAAUCCUUACCCAAAUAAUCUUCCUAGCAAGUGAGAAUUACUUGUCUCAAUAGUAUUAUGCUUUCAGAUAGUUAAAUUAUAAUUGGCAGUAUCAAAUUUCAACUUGUGGCAGAUUAACAUGAUUUUUGGGUCUUUUAAUUAUUAGUAAAGAUCUUUAUUUUAGUGUUGGACAAAACAAAAUCUGUAUGCUAAUUAUUUGGUUGUGAUUUGUUUGCAGGUUUGCAAUGCUUUUACUGAUAUGGAAAACCCUUCACCUUGUUAGCGUUUACCUGAUGGCUUCAAAAGGGUUCGGGUUCCUCAUUUAGUUAAUACCAAGGUAAGCUAAAAGAAGCCAUAGUUAUCUAUUUCUCAGUUUAUGUAGUGGUUAGUACUUAGUUAAUACUACUCGAGCUUAUAAUUAUUUUCAGUGAAGAGCGAAGAAGGCAUAGUUAUUCUUGAAGAAGCUCAGUGAGCUGCUCUUCUCUUUCUAUUUAGCAAUGCUAUAUCUAUCUUCCAUAAAAAAUUAUUAUUAUAUAUUGGACUUCAUCUUUUUAAACAAAAUUUAGUUUAAGUUUAUGGAUAAAAAAAUAUAAUUUAAAAAGGAAAGUUUAUUGACCAUAUUUAUAAGUAAUUUUUUUUAAUAUUUUGACGUGUAAGAUUUUAAUAUUUUUCAAAUAUUUUAUUUGGUGGAUUACGUAAUAAAGGAAAGUUUUUUAGUAUUUUAAAAUAUUUUAUUUGAUUGCAUACGUAAUACGUUUGCAUAGUGAGUAUAUACAUAAAUAGUAUACUGGAUUGAUGCUAAUAAUAAAUUAAAAGAGCAUGAUGAGUGCAUAGAACAAAGGGAGUUAGGAAAAAAAAGAAGUCAUUUUUUCCUAAUUAAUUGUUCCUUUCUACGUUUCAUAUGGGACAUCACUUAUAUAAAGUAAUUCGUAUUCUGUCAAAUUAAAGAAAGAAGCUGUAAAGGAAAACUUAAUUAUAGAGUAAAAGUAUAUAGGUGUGUGCCUAUCCCUUCUCUUUUCCAUUUUGGUGAAAUCAUUUUAUUCAUUUUAUUUGAACUGUACAACUGAUCCAGAUUGUUGUGUCAUGUGUGAUUUAUCAUUUAAAAUAGAAACUUGCUUAGAAGUAGGAGUCUUAGUGUAAGUGGUAGCUUAGUACUGGUAUGGAAUGACAGAUUUCACUUCCUUUUAUUAAUAAUCGUAUACAAGUACAUAUGAAGAUUUUAAGAAAAGACUUAAAUAGUUUUUUAGCCCCUAUAAUAUAUACAGGGUUAUUUUCUUUUUGUCCUCUUAAGAUUUUUUUUUCCGGUUUUUGUCCUCUUAAGUUUUUUAGCUACACUGGAUCUAGUUGCUUCUCUGGGCUAAGAUAGGACCAUAGGAUGAUUUGGCUAAUUCAUUAUGAAAUAUUGGUCAAUGCAACUUGGAAUAUGCUUUGCCCUUGGAGCUAGCAACCUGAAAAUCGCAAUUUGUGAUCACGAGAAAGAUGUGUGUUGUCCUUCUUGUUGAUUUUGAAAAGAAAAAAAAAAGAAUGUGGCAACUUAUGCAGAAUUAUAUGACGUGGUGCUUACCUAUGUUAAGUGGGCUCUCGUAAUAAUUUUUCAAAUUUAAGUAUAAAGUUUUGAAUAUUUCCUAAUGAUAAUUUUUAUCCUUGACUAGAAUUACAUAUCAAUCUCUUCUUGCAGCAAAUUGUCUUUUUGCAGACUGUUAUGGGGGAUACCAUUGGAGACCCUCUCAAAGAUACUUCAGGCCCUUCACUCAACAUCCUCAUCAAGCUCAUGGCAGUUGAGUCGCUUGUCUUCGCACCAUUUUUUGCCACUCAUGGUGGUCUGCUUUUCAAGAUCUUUUGAUUUGAGGGAAUGCAACCGUACUUGGUAGAGUUUAAAUUUAUUACAUUUUCGAUUGUUGGCAGAUUUUAAGCUGUGAUAAAAUGAGGUGAAUUUUAAAUUUAUUACAUUUAGCUAGAAGUUUAGAAUCCUGAAGGUAAGUGAUAAGCAUUAUAUUGAAUUGCAUUGUAUAUGUUCAUGUUUCUAUGAAGCUUGCUGGACCUGAAAGGGAGAGGCAACUAUCAGAUACAGAUGUCCAAUCAGCUGUGUGGGAGGUCUGUGGUGAUUCUGGAGCUUUACAAUUGCUUGUUGAUCUUCUUCAUGUGAAGUGAGUGUCAGGAAUUAGGUAACCACAACUGCUGAUAGGAUCAUGUUAAUUAUAAUCUGAAAUGUUAUUUGCCUUAUUCCUAAUCUGUAUACUUGUGAUUACAACUUCUUUUAUAUUCAAUGCACCUUAUACCAGUUAUGAAACCAAAUCAAGUUUAGAAUCUUUAGAUGCAGACCUUAGUUGCCUCAACAAGCUCGACUGGUAUGCCACCUGUUGUUUGAUAUCUUCACCUGUUGUUAUAUAUAUAUAUAUAUAUAUAUAUAUAUAUAUAUAUAUAUAUAUAUAUAUAUAUAUAGCUAGUAGCAGUGUUGCUGUUCUUAAUAUUCCCAGGUUGUGGCAGGAAUAAUGUUCUUAUUAAUAUUCUCAUGCAUGGAUCUGAUUCGGAUCUUCUUUCUUGAUCUGGUUAGUCAAACAAUUUAUAUGUACACUUGCUAAUCAUAAUUUUAUAAUGAGUUUUUUAUGCACCGAUUGUAAUCUUAAGGUAUGAUUAGGAAUAUUUUGUAUCUUUAUCUUUAUAAUAAUAAUAAAAGCAAAUAAGUUUGAGAGGGAAAACUUAUGCAAUUAAAUUGUUCAUUUUUAGAGAUUUUAUUCUUUAUUUGUUAAUUCAUAGAAUUAUAUUAAUAUAGUAAUUAAGGUAAUCAGAAUCAUCUUAUAAUUUGAAAUAAUUUAAUCAAUUGUAAUUAGUAACUUAGGUAUAUGUUUUAGUUAACGUUAUUAAGAUGGUUUUAAACUUUUUAUAUAAAUAUAGUAAUUAAGGUAAUUAAAAUAAGUAUAUUUUCUAAUUUGAAAUAAUUAAAGUCAUUAUUGGUAUAUGUUUUAAUUAAGGUAAUUCAGAUUAUUUUAAAUUUCUUAUUAUAAUAAAAUUAUAGGGACAUUUUAUGCACUUGAGCAAGAAAAUUUUAGAGAAACUUUUUUAUAUUUUUAAUUCAUAGAAUUAUAUAAAUAUAAUAAUUGAGAUAAUUUGAAUAAUUAUAUAUUCUGAUUUGAAAUAAUGAAAUUAAUUAUUAUCCACACAUAUAUAUGUUUUAAUUAAGAUAAUUUAGUUAUAAAAAAAUAUUAUUAUUUCUUUUUAAUUUCUUAAUUAAAUUAUUUUGUUUCUUAAUUAAAUUAAUUAUUAUCCACACACCUCUUAAUUAGUAUUUUAUUUCUUUUUAAAAAAUAUAACUUGCAUUUAAAAUUAAUCACCCCCAUAUAUGAUUUUGUCAAACUCGGGCCAUGUAUAGGCCCAAAACAUAAGCCGUAACUUGUUGGGAGGUUCAUUAUAAAAUGGGAAGAAAGUAGUAUUAGGGUUUUAUAUUACGCAUAGUGUGGUAGCCGCAGCUAAGCUUGUUUCCGUUGCCGCUUCACCCACCGUAGCAACCAUGGUGGAAUCAACUUAUGCUUGCCCUAAUUUGAUUUGUUUUGUGCAGAUCAUUCCCGAGAAGAAUCGUAAAGAGAUCUACAAAUACAUCUUCCAAGGUUCGUUAGUUAACGUUGUUGUCUCUUGUUGUGCUUUACGGUUUUGUUAAAAUUGUAAGGUGUGUUUGUUUGAUUCAGAGGGAGUUUGCUUUGCGAAGAAGGACUUCAAUGUGGCAAAGCACCCAGAGAUUGAUGUGCCGAAUCUGCAGUGACCGUGAGAGGAGAUUCAAAUCCAGAGAGUAGGCCCAUCUCGCUUUGACGGAGAGAGGAGAUUCAACAGUGACCGUGAUGGAUACCGUGGAGAUCCACGCAGACCUCAUUUUUCAGGUAAAUUUUAAAGACUCAUUUUUAUUUAAUGAAUACAGUAUUAUUUAAUUUUCCUUGUUUUUCUAUUGUAAUAGGAAAUAAAAAAGGCAGUGGAAAUGACUAUUUUUAUAUUUAUAAACAAUUCAAUGUUUGAAGUUGAAUGUUUAUUUUUGUAUUUAUAAAUAUUUGUUCUAUGUUUUCUGAGAGAAAAUUCCUUUCAUAAAAUUUGGACAAGUAAAAUUACACUCUUAAUUUUAGUUGUAUAAAUUGUCAGAUAUUUUCUAAUAAACGUAUUAUAUUAACUUAUGUACUAUAUUUUAUCUAUAAGAUUUUCGAUGAAUCAUAUGCGUAAUUUUUCUUCCUAACACCUUGUAUAAAGACUUAGAAGAAUAAAGAAUUUAAUUAUUUAUUCUUUAUAUUUACAUUUAUGUUCUUGAUAAUUUCAAUUUGACAUAUAUAUAAUAGUUGUUUGUUAGACAUCAUUAUCAUUUUUAAUUAUUUCCCAUAUUUUAUAUCAUAAAUCUGUCAAAAUUAGUGUCACAUGUCAAAUCCUUCAUAUUUAUUACCCGUCAAGCUACUUUUUAUCAAAAAAAAGUCCUAUAUAAAAAUGAAUUACAUUUUUUAUUGCCCCGUUCAAAUUCUUACAUUUUAUAUAUAACUCAAUAGUUUAUAACAAUGAUGAAGAGAUGAUUUUUUAAAAUUGAAGAUGGGCUAAAUACCCGAUAGAAUGAUUGAUUACAAACUAAAAGAAAUACUAGCCCAUUCUUCUAAGACGUGUGUUUUUUGGUCCACAUCACCGAAUGAUUACUAUACUAUACAUAGCAUUCAUGCCUCCUUUCAUUUAAUUUUAUGGCCCUCUCUUUCUUUUAUUGCCGAUAAUUGAAAAAGUUUACAUCAUUGUUUUAGAUAUUUGAAAAAAUUAAAAUAAAAAGUUGUAAGAAAAACUUGGGCCUCUCGUUCAGGAUAUUUUGUCACGCAUUUACAGAGCAACCCCUCACCCACUAUCAUUUGAUGAUGUGGUCGUUUCACCAACCCAAAGGGCAAUGAACCAAAACUUGUCUCUAAAUUCACUGCAGUAACAGGAAACUCUUAAUCACUACUAUGACUUUUUAAUUAAAUUUGUGGCAAAUUGGUUAGUGUCCUUGUUAUCCUUGUAAUGAAAUAAGGAGGGAUAUUGUGUAUAAUUUGAAGUAAUCUUAGGGAUGUUAAUGUAAUCUGCCAACUAAUAUCACAUUGACAAACAAUAAGUUUUAUUGUUGAAUUGCCCGUAUUUGGUAAUCAAAUUGUUAUUCAGAAAAAGACUUCAGACUUUUAGACUAUAGUCUUUAUGUAGAAGCUUCUUCCUUUGCUCUCUGGACAACAUUUUGGCCCUCUUAUCAUUUUCGAUCCUCAUACUUAAACUAGGUAUAUUAUUUGCUUCUACCAGUGCAAAAAUCAAAUCAUAUUGAAAAUUUUGGCUAGAGUUGGGCAUGAUGACUUCAAGUUGAGAGAAAAUGUGUUGUUAUUUUUAUCACUUUUUAUUAUUUUGAUAUUUCUCUAAUCUCUAGUUAGGAAAACCCAUAUUCUUUUUUAUCUAUGAAGUAGCAUUGUCCUAAUUUUGAUAAAGAAUUUGUAGAAGUUCUUGUGAUGGCCUACUUUGACAUGUCAAGUUUUCCUUAUAUGUAUAUGUUUUAACUCUGUUUGCAGGGUGGUCCUGGUGGAGGGCCUGAUUUUGGUCGUGGUUCCGAUGGUUAUGGUACACCAAUUAGUCCAAACAUUCCUUCUUAAAUAUAAUGUUAUGUGCUCUAGUUUUUGCAAUUUUGGCUGUCAUUGGAGUUAAUAGUAGUUGUUCCCUUCUCCCAAUAGUUGCUCGAUAUGUCAGACAAUUUACUUAUUCGAUUAUUUAUGCAAUAAAGAUUUUGAUCGAGUGUCUGUUAUAAUAUAUAGGUUGACAAUAUUGUUUCUGUUGGAUGAUUGGUGGUUUAUAAACUGAAAAUUGGUGGGAAAAGCCUUAAUUUUUAUUUCAAAAAGUAACUUAUGUCUAAUGGUUUAUAAAUUGUUGCGAAUAAGAUGGUAAAUUUAACACGUGACAAUAUUCCCAGGGCGAUUAUUUAAUAAUAAAAAAAAACCAAAAUCAAAAAUCCAAAAAAAAACAAAAGAAAAACUAUCUAAGACGGUUAUUUAAUAACUGUCUUAGAAUGAUCGAGAAACUAUGACGGUCAUAAGAAAAACCGUCGUAAAAAAUUAAGUUCAAAAAGGUUAUUUUAAGACGGUUAUUAAGAAGAGCUGACUUAGAAUCUCAAACAUACUAAGACGGUUAUUUAAUAACCGUCUUAGAUUUUUCAUGUUGUGGACUCCAUUUUAAGACGGGUGACAUGAAAACCGUCUUAGAAAGUAAUAGUCACUAAGACGGUUAGCUUUGAGGACCGCCUUUGUAAGAUGAACAUUCUAAGACGGUUAUUAAAUAACCGUCUUAGAAAACAUAAUAAUCUACGACGGUUCAUAAACCGAUGUAAAAAGUGUAGUACCAAUUUACGACGUUGCGUUCUAAGACGGUUCAAAACCGUCUUAGAAGGUCUUCUAGAACCGACUUAGAAAACACAAUUUGUAGUAGUGUUGGUUGUCAACAAAAAUUUCAGUUUUGUUUUUGUGUAUCAUAGACAUCUCCUCCUCCAUUCCAAUUUUCCAUUUUGGAUCUUUUAGUGCUUCCUCACAACUAAAAGGUUCAUAAAUUGCUAUAUUACAUCUUUGAUAGAUGUCGAACAGUGACCUUUUUCCUCUGAUUGGAAGGUCAUCUCUUAAUUCAUUAUGCAUAAGCUCUGUUGUUUGCUCUCUGGGAUGAUUGUUUCCACUGUUGAGGAAAAACCCACCUGUUUGUGAGUUGUUCCAAUCCCAUUUCUUACCUUCAUUGAAGUGCACGUCUCUUGUGACUGUCAUCUUUUUAGUUUGAGGAUGAUAGACUUUGUAGGCUUUUGAAAUUGAACUGUAGCCCAAAAAGAUGCCCAAAAUUGCUUUCUUGUCAAGUUUGUCACGCUUAACUUGUGGAACAUAAGCAAAAAAAACACAACCAAACACUUUAAGAAAGGUUAGUGAAGGCUUAAACCCAUACCAAGCCUCAAAUGGAGUUUUAUCAUUCAAAGCCUUGGUUGGAAGCUGAUUUUGCAUGAAAAUAGCCAUAUUAGCCGCCUCUGCCCAAAAUGUUUCAGGUAGCUCCAUCUCAUGCAACAUGGACCUAGCCAUCUUCAUCACAGUUCUAUUUCUCCUUUCACUAACUCUAUUUUGCUCUGGAGUGUAUGGAGCUGUGAGUUUAUGUUCAAUGCCAGCUUCUUCAUAGAAUUGAUUAAACUUUGAUGAAGUAUACUCAUUCCCAUUGUCUGAUCUUAGAAAUUGAAUCUUGCAGCCACUUUGGUUUUCUACCAUGUUCUUGAACUUCAUAAAUACUCCAGCCACUUCAUGCUUGAAUUUUAAGAAAAAANNNNNNNNNNNNNNNNNNNNNNNNNNNNNNNNNNNNNNNNNNNNNNNNNNNNNNNNNNNNNNNNNNNNNNNNNNNNNNNNNNNNNNNNNNNNNNNNNNNNNNNNNNNNNNNNNNNNNNNNNNNNNNNNNNNNNNNNNNNNNNNNNNNNNNNNNNNNNNNNNNNNNNNNNNNNNNNNNNNNNNNNNNNNNNNNNNNNNNNNNNNNNNNNNNNNNNNNNNNNNNNNNNNNNNNNNNNNNNNNNNNNNNNNNNNNNNNNNNNNNNNNNNNNNNNNNNNNNNNNNNNNNNNNNNNNNNNNNNNNNNNNNNNNNNNNNNNNNNNNNNNNNNNNNNNNNNNNNNNNNNNNNNNNNNNNNNNNNNNNNNNNNNNNNNNNNNNNNNNNNNNNNNNNNNNNNNNNNNNNNNNNNNNNNNNNNNNNNNNNNNNNNNNNNNNNNNNNNNNNNNNNNNNNNNNNNNNNNNNNNNNNNNNNNNNNNNNNNNNNNNNNNNNNNNNNNNNNNNNNNNNNNNNNNNNNNNNNNNNNNNNNNNNNNNNNNNNNNNNNNNNNNNNNNNNNNNNNNNNNNNNNNNNNNNNNNNNNNNNNNNNNNNNNNNNNNNNNNNNNNNNNNNNNNNNNNNNNNNNNNNNNNNNNNNNNNNNNNNNNNNNNNNNNNNNNNNNNNNNNNNNNNNNNNNNNNNNNNNNNNNNNNNNNNNNNNNNNNNNNNNNNNNNNNNNNNNNNNNNNNNNNNNNNNNNNNNNNNNNNNNNNNNNNNNNNNNNNNNNNNNNNNNNNNNNNNNNNNNNNNNNNNNNNNNNNNNNNNNNNNNNNNNNNNNNNNNNNNNNNNNNNNNNNNNNNNNNNNNNNNNNNNNNNNNNNNNNNNNNNNNNNNNNNNNNNNNNNNNNNNNNNNNNNNNNNNNNNNNNNNNNNNNNNNNNNNNNNNNNNNNNNNNNNNNNNNNNNNNNNNNNNNNNNNNNNNNNNNNNNNNNNNNNNNNNNNNNNNNNNNNNNNNNNNNNNNNNNNNNNNNNNNNNNNNNNNNNNNNNNNNNNNNNNNNNNNNNNNNNNNNNNNNNNNNNNNNNNNNNNNNNNNNNNNNNNNNNNNNNNNNNNNNNNNNNNNNNNNNNNNNNNNNNNNNNNNNNNNNNNNNNNNNNNNNNNNNAACAAAGUAGAGACUACCUUUCAGUGAUGGUGUUCUUUGAGGUCAUGCAACAUCAGUAUGAAUUAGUUGCAACUUUUGAGAGGCUCUCCAAGAUGAUUUUGAGAAUAACUUUCUGAUUUGUUUACCAAAUUGACAAGCAUUACGAUUUGGUAAAUUAUCAAAACAUUAUGGUAAGCCUUUUGCCAAGUCCCUUUUUUUCAUAUCUAGCAUUCUUUCAAGAUGGCAAUGACCCAGUCUUUUGUGCCAGAGUUCUAUGGGAUUGACUUUAGUGUAAUAGGUUGCAUGCACCUCCUCUGUUGGAUCAAAUGAGAAGCUUUUACCUCUCAUUUUAACCCUUAGAACUUCCCGGCCAGCACUGUCAUAAAUAAGGCAGUGUUGAUGUUCAAAGGACAAUUUAAAUCCAUUUUCACUCAAUUGACCUACACUUAGCAAAUUUUGAUCAAUGUCAGGUACAUAAAGAACAUCUGAUAUUAUUUUGGUACCUGAACAUGUUGAAAUUGCAAUGGUUCCUUUUGUAGAAAUAUAAUCACCAUUCCUAAUUAUGACCUUUGAGACAUUAGUUGGCUUCAAAUCCUUGAAUAAAGUCUUAUCAUUUGUCAUGUGGUUCAUACUACCGCUAUCAAUCAACCAACAUUCAAAACUACUCCUCAUCGAAUAACACGUUGCAACAAAAAUAUAAUCUUCUUCAUCUUGCUCCACAACUUGGGCAUUGGCUUCAGCUUGUUGAAAUUUGUUGUUACAAAUUACAGCUUCAUGUCCAAGUUGAUUGCACCUAGUGCACUUUGCAUCUGGUCUUCUCCAACACUUGAAUGGUGGGUGACCCAUUUUUCCGCAAUGCUGACAAGGUGAGUAAUUUUUCUUUUUACCCUUACCUUUGUUUUGGUUGUUUGCACUAUUUUCGCUGCUUGCUGGCUAGUUCUUCUUGACAUAUUUCUUUCUCCUUGUGAAUUCUGAUCUGGUUUAUAGUAGGAUCAUCUGAGAUCAUAACUUUCCCUGGUAAAGACAAGAAUGAUGGCUUGGAAAAAACUUAUGUCAGAAUCCAUCAGAAAUUAAAAUGCAUAGGUUCCUUAAGAAGAGGCUCUUGAUAUCAAUUGUUGGGGAGAUUCGAGGGAAACACCUAUGGACCAUGAGUCACCACAUAAGGAAGUCUGUCACCACACUCUAACCCAAAACCUUAAGAUUCAGGUUUAUGGGUAUUCUCCUCAAUUAUAUGGUGCUCAACUUUUCCACUUUUACCCAAUGUGAGACUUCACCUCACACUUGUACUCCAACACAUCUCCCCUUCAAGUGUGAGUCUCUUCCACAUGGUAGCCUUCCUCUGGAGCUCACGAGUAUAGCCAUUCUGACCACCUGCAGUACUUGCACUACCGCUACAUCUGCGGGGUACCCUGCGCCGCCAUCUUACUCCUCUGAGCCGGUCACGAGUAUAGCCAUUCUGGCCACCUAUGGUACUUACACCGCCACUGCAUGCUGCGCCGUGCCAUCUUACUUAUUUGAGUCGGUCACCAAGUCGAACCUUCAUCUCUGAUAUCAAUUGUUAGUUUUGUAGCAAAAAAAUAUAAUAAGCAAGGAAAAAGAGAAACAAUACAAGGUGGAGGAAAUAUAAUAAUUUUUGCUUAAUCAAAUUAUUCUGAGGAGCAAUACAAUAUAUAGGAAAACAAAUAUUAACCACUUAUUAAUUUCAGGAAAAUUGAAAAUUAAAAGUGACUUGCUCCUAAAGUUUAGGAAUAACUUUAAUCCAUAACUGAAAUGAAUAAAAAUAAAAUAUGUAGUUACAAAAGUAAUUUAAAGAAAUUUAACAAUAUGACUUGGCCUCAUCGGAUAGGUAAUAUCUAUAAACUUUCACCAAAACAUUAAAGCUUCUUAUUCUAUGAGGGUAAUGCCAAAUAUUCGUGAACCAAAUUAGCAAUCACACCUUAUAUGAUUUGAAAAAACAAAAAAAAAAAAUUACAGUUCCAGUCUAGUAUCUCUAUGAAAAUUGUCAAAAUAUAACUUUAACAAGGAAUAAAAAAAAAGAAAGGACAAAUAAGAUAAUGUUUGUUUUCUUCUUAAUCUUAAUAUUUUAUUUUUCUCCUCCUAUUCUUUACCUCAAUUUUGUAAGCUAUGUAAAACCUGUAUGAUUUAGAACACUAUAAAAACAAUGACAAAGGAAUAGGAAAUAGAGGGUCAUACGUAGCAGAUUAUGGUUUGUCUAAGAAGGGAAGUCCUGAUAUCAGUCAUCAUCUAUAAACUAUAAUGCAUCAAGCUUAUCAUUAACAAUUUGGUUCUUUUUAGAUAAAUUUCUUUAAAAACACUUACAGAAGAAAAAAAAAACAAAAUGCAUUAAGGUUUUUUACUUUUUAUAAAUUAAAGCCAACUUGCACACCUAAGAACAGUAAGAAGUAAUACAAAACAGAUAUAAUACAACUUUUAUUUAACCAGACUUCAAUCUAAACCAUUGAAUUUUUAAUCAAUAUAUCUACGAUGAAUUUUGAUGGUAGGUACUUCCCCCAGAUUCCACGAUCAAAAAGCAUCCAACCAAGAACAUUGUCUUCAAAAGAGGACAAGACACCUACUACCACUACACUUUUUAAAGUAGCCAGACUUCAAUCUAAACCAUUGAAUUUUUAAUUAAUAUAUUUAACGGUUAAUUUUGAUGGUAGGUACUAACGCAAAGCGAGUUAAAAGUGAAGAGAGUUGACUAGAAUCAAAUCUCAUCACACCAGUUAAGCUUGUCGAAAACCAACCCAGUUUAUUGCAACCAAUUCCUUUCCUUUGUUCUUGACAUCAUGGCUGAGGCAGUUGGUGGUGCAUUCCUCUCGGCUUUCCUUGAUGUUGUGUUCGACAAGCUGUCUACAGAUGAGGUUGUUGACUUCAUCCGUGGAAAGAAGCUUGACCUCAAUUUGCUUGAGAACUUGAAGAGCACUCUGAGAGUGGUUGGAGCUGUGCUUGAUGAUGCUGAGAAGAAACAAAUCAAACUCUCCAGUGUCAACCAGUGGCUCAUUGAGGUCAAAGAUGCUCUCUAUGAGGCCGAUGACUUGCUGGAUGAAAUUUCUACCAAAUCUGCAACUCAAAAGAAGGUAAGUAAAGUGCUUUCUCGCUUUACUGAUAGGAAAAUGGCCAGUAAGUUGGAAAAAAUAGUUGACAAAUUAGACACAGUUUUAGGAGGCAUGAAGGGUCUUCCUUUGCAAGUGAUGGCAGGGGAGAUGAGCGAGUCAUGGAAUACUCAGCCAACAACAUCUCUGGAAGAUGGAUAUGGUAUGUAUGGUAGGGAUACAGACAAGGAGGGCAUAAUGAAGAUGUUGUUGUCAGAUGAUAGCAGUGAUGGUGUACUAGUGUCUGUGAUCGCUAUUGUAGGCAUGGGUGGGGUUGGAAAAACCACUUUAGCCCGAUCUGUGUUCAACAAUGAGAAUUUGAAGCAGAUGUUUGAUUUAAAUGCAUGGGUUUGUGUUUCUGAUCAAUUUGAUAUUGUUAAGGUCACAAAAACUAUGAUAGAGCAAAUCACGCAAGAGUCAUGUAAAUUGAAUGAUCUAAACUUGCUUCAACUUGAAUUGAUGGACAAACUGAAAGUUAAAAAAUUCUUAAUUGUCUUGGAUGAUGUAUGGAUCGAGGAUUAUGAGAAUUGGAGUAAUCUUACAAAACCAUUUCUACAUGGAAAAAGGGGAAGUAAAAUUCUCUUGACAACCCGCAAUGCAAAUGUAGUGAAUGUAGUCCCUUAUCAUAUUGUUCAAGUUUAUUCUCUAAGUAAAUUGUCAGAUGAAGAUUGUUGGCUAGUGUUUGCAAACCAUGCAUUUCCCCCCUCAGAAUCAAGUGGGGAUGCUAGAAGAGCUUUAGAAGAAAUUGGAAGGGAGAUUGUUAAAAAGUGUAAUGGAUUGCCUUUAGCAGCACGGUCACUUGGAGGUAUGUUGAGAAGAAAGCAUGCUAUUAGGGAUUGGAAUAAUAUACUUGAAAGUGACAUUUGGGAACUUCCUGAAAGUCAGUGUAAAAUUAUUCCAGCCUUGAGAAUUAGUUAUCAAUAUCUCCCUCCACAUUUAAAACGAUGCUUUGUUUAUUGUUCAUUAUACCCUAAAGAUUUUGAAUUUCAAAAGAAUGACUUGAUCUUGUUGUGGAUGGCUGAAGAUCUUUUGAAGCUUCCAAACAGAGGAAAGGCGUUAGAAGUUGGUUACGAGUAUUUUGAUGAUUUAGUUUCUAGAUCAUUUUUUCAACGUUCAAGUAAUCAAACUUGGGGCAAUUAUUUUGUAAUGCAUGACCUCGUGCAUGAUCUAGCAUUAUACCUUGGUGGAGAAUUCUAUUUCAGAUCAGAAGAACUUGGAAAAGAAACCAAGAUUGGUAUAAAGACUCGUCAUUUGUCAGUUACAAAGUUCAGUGAUCCAAUCUCAGAUAUUGAAGUUUUUGACAGACUACAAUUUUUGAGAACUUUAUUGGCAAUUGAUUUUAAAGAUUCUUCAUUCAACAAGGAAAAGGCACCAGGUAUUGUAGCAUCGAAGCUUAAGUGCUUGAGAGUUUUAUCAUUUUGUGGCUUUGCAAGUCUGGAUGUUUUGCCUGAUUCAAUAGGUAAAUUGAUCCAUUUGCGUUAUUUAAAUCUCUCUUUUACAAGAAUAAGAACACUGCCGGAGUCAUUGUGUAAUUUGUACAAUCUACAAACUCUGGUGUUGUCUCAUUGCGAAAUGUUGACCAGGUUGCCUACUGACAUGCAAAAUCUUGUAAACUUGUGUCAUCUUCAUAUUUAUGGUACUCGUAUAGAAGAGAUGCCUAGAGGAAUGGGAAUGUUAAGUCAUUUGCAGCAAUUGGAUUUCUUUAUUGUGGGCAACCAUAAAGAGAACGGAAUCAAAGAACUGGGGACACUUUCAAAUCUUCAUGGUUCGCUUUCUAUUAGGAAUUUGGAGAAUGUAACCAGAAGCAAUGAAGCAUUGGAGGCUAGGAUGAUGGAUAAGAAGAACAUAAAUCAUUUAUCGUUGAAAUGGUCUAAUGGCACCGACUUCCAAACUGAAUUAGAUGUACUGUGCAAAUUAAAACCUCACCCAGACCUGGAAUCUCUAACAAUAUGGGGUUAUAAUGGAACCAUAUUUCCAGAUUGGGUGGGAAAUUUUUCCUACCACAACUUGACAAGUCUAAGAUUACAUGAUUGUAAUAACUGUUGUGUGCUUCCUUCGCUUGGGCAACUACCAUCUCUUAAGCAGCUCUAUAUUUCAAUAUUGAAGUCAGUGAAGACUGUUGAUGCAGGGUUUUACAAAAAUGAAGAUUGUCCUUCUGUGACUCCCUUUUCUUCCCUUGAAACGCUAUACAUUAAUAACAUGUGUUGCUGGGAGUUGUGGAGUACCCCUGAGUCAGACGCCUUUCCUCUACUCAAGUCUCUUACAAUAGAGGAUUGCCCCAAACUAAGGGGAGAUUUGCCAAAUCACCUUCCUGCUCUAGAAACACUCAAUAUUACAAGAUGCCAGCUUCUUGUCUCUUCCCUGCCAAGGGCUCCCAUCCUUAAGGGCUUAGAGAUAUGUAAAAGCAAUAAUGUAUCGUUGCAUGUGUUUCCUCUUUUGUUGGAAAGGAUAAAAGUAGAAGGAAGCCCAAUGGUGGAGUCCAUGAUCGAGGCCAUCUUCAGCAUUGAUCCAACUUGCCUCCAACAUUUAACAUUGAGUGAUUGUUCGUCAGCCAUAUCUUUUCCGUGUGGUCGUCUACCUGCAUCUCUGAAGGAUCUGCAUAUCAGCAAUCUUAAAAAUCUGGAAUUCCCGACCCAACACAAACACGAUUUACUGGAAUCACUGUCACUAUACAAUAGUUGUGAUUCUCUCACGUCUCUUCCAUUGGUUACCUUUCCAAAUCUCAAAAGUCUCGAAAUCCAUGACUGUGAACAUCUGGAAUCUCUUUUGGUUUCAGGGGCAGAGUCAUUCAAGAGUCUGUGUUCUUUGAGAAUUUGCCGAUGCCCCAACUUUGUAUCAUUCUGGAGAGAAGGAUUGCCUGCGCCCAAUUUGACUCGAAUUGAAGUUUUCAAUUGCGACAAGUUGAAGUCAUUACCUGACAAAAUGAGUAGUCUUCUCCCAAAGUUAGAAUAUCUUCACAUAAAAGACUGCCCAGAAAUUGAGUCGUUUCCAGAAGGGGGUAUGCCACCUAACCUGAGAACAGUUUCGAUUCACAAUUGUGAGAAACUACUGAGCGGCCUAGCAUGGCCAUCCAUGGGCAUGCUUACCCAUCUCCAUGUUCAGGGUCCAUGUGAUGGCAUCAAGUCCUUCCCUAAGGAGGGUUUGCUGCCUCCCUCCCUUACGUCUCUGUAUCUACAUAAGUUGUCAAAUCUGGAGAUGUUGGACUGCACGGGGCUUCUCCAUCUCACAUCCCUGCAAGAAUUAACCAUAAUCGGAUGUCCUUUGCUGGAGAAUAUGCUGGGAGAAAGGCUUCCUGUCUCUCUAAUAAAAUUAACCAUAGAGAGAUGUCCUUUGCUGGAAAAACAAUGCCGCAGGAAGCACCCUCAAAUAUCCCACAUCCGUCACAUUAAAGUUGACAAUAGAUGGAUUUAGUGACCAAGGAUGAGCACCGGGUAAUUCUCCUUCUUUGACCUACUUCAUCGUCUUCUAAGUCUAACCAAACAAAACUAUUUCAGUCAAGGAUAUCUUUCUUUUCAUGUCUUUUUAUUCUCACAGUUAAUUUAUUCAUUUCAUUCAACAAGCGUUAUUACCCUGAAGAAAUGUUAUCAAUCAAUGCCAUUGUAUUUGAACUUUCUCAAUAUAUCGGCAAUCAUGGUGGUUGUUUCAUCUUGUUACAUUCUCUGUCAGUGUUCAAAGUGUAAUUGGGUGUACUUUGUUUUUCAGAGAUGAUAGAUUGUCCUGUAGAAACUGCACCUGUAAUUGGAUAUGAAUUCAACUUUGACGUGACACCAGAAAGCUCAUAUUUAUGCGUGUAAAGCUGAUCUUCCAGGGCAAAAGGAGGAGGAAGCGAGGGCGCAGUCAGCUGAUGGCAAAGUGUUUAAGAUUGUUCCAUGGCACCAUCUGGAGCAUAGCACCAGCAACUCCCUGAGCAUACAGGCCUUAAGCCAUGACUUGACUGGUUUAGAUAGGUAAUAAUUACUGAAUUCAAGACACUAAAUUCUAUGAGGGUUCAUAUAAAAUUGACAAGGGUUUAGAUCUUGCUAGUAAUACCAAGGAUUCGUGAACCAACUUAACAAUCACACCAUGGAUGAUUUGAAAUAACAAUAUAAAUUGCAGUUCCUGUCUAACAUCUCUAGGAAAUUUUCCAGAACAUAAGUUCAACAAGGAAAACAAAGAAGAUAGAAAAAAUAAGACAAUGUUGUUUUCUUCUUAAUCUUAUAUUUUAUUGUUCCUCCCAUGCCUUGCAUCAAUUUUGUAACCUAUGUGAAACUUGGAUCAUUUAAAACACAAUAAUUACAAUGAACAAGGAAUAGAAACUAGAGGGUCUUGGGUAGGAGAUUGUGGUCUAUCUGAGAAGCAAAGUCCUGAUUUCAGUCUUUAACUAGAAUUCAUCAAGCUUAUCAUUCUCUAAGCUGAUUUAUUAGGCAAUUGUCUUUGUUCUUUCUCAUUCUUGUUUCUUAUUUUCCUCUAAAUUGGGCUCAGAGCUUUGUUCUUACUCAUUGUUUCUUAUUUUCCUUCAGAUCAUAUUUUCUAAAGUUGUUCAUGUCAUUGCAUGCAAUGUUUGCUUUCACCCAAAGGGGUGGCUUUGAUCAAAUUGACAAGGAUGAUUCCAACCUACCUCUGGAUACAGCUCCUAUUAAGCAUGUCACGCAGGUAUGCUGUCACAUAAUUGAAAAUUGUUAUCAUGGCUCUAACUACUUGUUAUAAAUUCUCUGUCACUACAAGUUUUCAUCCGAGUUGGGUUAUUAUCUUUUUUAUCUUUCAUCUUUUGUGAAUUUUCGUUUUUAGUUUCAUGAUUUUUUUGUCUUUUUUUAGUCCCAAAAAAAAUAUUGUUUUAUUUUUUGUUCUCAAUAUAUGUAGAAUUUUUUAGGGACUAAAAAUGAAACAAAAAAAUUGAGGGACUAUAAACGAAAAAAAAAAUUAUGGACUAAGACCCAUCAAAAGAUUAAGAAGGACUAAAAACAAUCGCAAAAGACGAAGCAAGUUAAAUAAAUCCUAUUGAUACUAUUUUACUAAUAUUGUGUUACAGGAAACUAUAAAUUUACAAUUUAUAUUAUAAUACAAAAAUAUUUAUCUUUAUUUAUAUUCUUUUGAAAAUAUUCAAAUUCAAUUUAAAAAUAAGUAUGAAAAUGAAAAAUUAAACAGAGAUAAAAGUUUUAUAAAAAAAUUUAAAAUAUCUUGUUGAAAAAAAACUAAAAAUACUUUAGUUGAAGAAUAUCUCUUAAAAAAAUAUUUUCCGAUACAGGAAACUCAUUUCAUUUCAGAUAAAACUAUAAAAUUUACUAUAAAAGAAGGCAACUAAUGUGUUUAUCCGUUACUCACAACACAACUAAAAUAUAGCUGUGGACUUAAGUUUUUCGAUUCGAAUCAUCCAAUUUUUCUCAUAAUCGCAGUCUUCUUCCUUGCAUGCAUGCAAUUUUUCCUUCCCUUGUUUUCUCUAGGACAAAAGUUAUCACAGUGCAUACGUGACAAUCUACCCUCAAAACUCUCCGCAUCAAUCAAACAGUCACAAGAAAAGGCCAUGAAACAUAUGAUGCUAAUGCCACAAAAUGGUGGCAGUCGUGGUGAUAUCCAUGUUGAGGAUAACCAAAACAUGUCCUUUCCGUCGUGGGAGGGAACCUUUAUGAGGUGCUUCAGUGAAAUAGAUGAAAAGCUUGCUAAGAACAUUGACACUGAUGGAUUUCGUGGCGGUAGCACUUCUGUAUCUGUAAUCAAACAGGUAUAACUAGACCUUCNNNNNNNNNNNNNNNNNNNNNNNNNNNNNNNNNNNNNNNNNNNNNNNNNNNNNNNNNNNNNNNNNNNNNNNNNNNNNNNNNNNNNNNNNNNNNNNNNNNNUUUCUUUUUUUUGUGAAUACUUUUGCAACAAUGUUAUAACCACAUCUUUUUCCCCCUUUAAAUUUCAGGGUGACCAAGUAAUAAUUGGCAAUGUGAGGGAUUCUCGUGCAGUUCUUUGCAGAAGAGCACCUGACAAUCGCCUUAUUCCUGUUCAACUUACUAUUGACUUGACUCCAGAUAUUCCAAGUAUGUUUUGGUAUUACCUAUUCUUAGUUUCCAAAUCUUACAACCCUUUUGAGUUUAUUUGGUUAAAUUGUCUAAUUAAGCCAUAUUCAUUAAGAACUUAUUAGAUGAGAGCUUCUUUCAGGACUUGUUUGGGUAAGUUUAUCCAAAACCACUUAUGCACAUACUAGUUUGUAAAAGCUCUCUCAUCUUUUAGAGAAACUAUACAAGAGAGUUUCUACAAUUUAGCUUAUGGAGAAACUCAUUUCAUUUCUUUUUCUUAUUUUAUUUCUCCUAAAAGUGCUUCCAGAUAAGUUUAUCCAAACAGACCCUAAAAGCUUGAUUGUAUAACUUAGUAAAUAAGCUAACCAAACUUAUUUUGAUAACCUUCUUUUUGAAAUUUAAUUGAAAUAAGCUAAAAAUAUUCUACUGAAUGGCCAUAUGCUACUUCUACAAGUCCAAAUAAGUUUUAUGAAAUUCUUCCUAAUGUCCCUUGGUCUGUGUCUAACUAGCUUUUCUUCCUCAAUGUUACUCAGGAGAAGCUAUGAGAAUUUUUGCUGUAGAAGAAGAUCCUACUGUAAACAGAGUAUGGAUGCCUAAAAGGGACUGCCUGGACUGGCUAUGGCAAGAGCCUUUAGAAAUUUUUGCCUAAAAGACUAUGGUGUCGCCUCAGUCCCUGAUGUGUCUUAAAGAAAACUUACCAAGGAGGAUAAGUGUGUGGUUUUGGCUUCUGAUGGGGUAAGCAUUUUCAUAUCAGGAUGUCAACUUCGAAUUUUGGAUUUUGAUUCUUGAGUAAUCAGUUACAGGAACAGAACAAUCAUUUUUAGUGUUUAAGUUAUGCUCAUUUCUCGUAUUCCUCUCAAUCCAAAUAUGUUUGCAAAUAUUUGAUCAAAUAGUGUAAGAAAAGAAAUAACCAAGAAGGUUAAAUGAAUUAACAGCAUGUAGUUUCCACACAUACGUGUUUAGUUCAUAUUGGACAAAAAUUAGAUGCAGUUAGUUCUGUAAGUGCUUUCGUUGUUGUCUUUCAAUUAGAAUUGGAGUUUCACCUAGUAAAUUCGUGUAAUAAAGGUUUCAAUUAAAAGUCAACAUAGACUACUAAGGUGGAAAUCCAAUUUUGAUUGAAGAACAAUGUUAAAAGCACCUGUAAAAACUGUAUCUAAGUUUUGUCCCAGCAUAUUUGGCACAAAUCCAUAUGCUUAUUCUUGAAGGAUUAGCCUCCUUUAACCCAAUCCUGAUCCAAAGUUAGUGGUUAACUUCUCAAAAUUUAUCCCAACCAAUAAGGUCUAAAUAAUCUAGACUUGUAAAUACUGAAAUUGUAGAUAUGGCAAGAGUAUGGUAGAAUCAAAAGGAAGAAUGGGAUGCUCUUGGAGGGUUCUCCAGAGCCAACUUUGAAUCAUAGAUUGCAAUCACCUCAGUACCUCAAGGAGGGUUGAAGCUGAUCACUAACUCAGCCAGAAACUCCCCGAAUCCAAGGGCUAGUGCUACUAACAAGUUAACAAUUUUACGGCCAGAAGAUUUUGCUUUUGACACAAUCCCAGAAGAUGGCAAUUAUUUUAGCCUUCUAAUUCUGGUGUAAUUACGUGCAAGACUUCUUUUCUAUCUGCCUAAGACCAACAUUGAUCAAUUUUAGCAGUCUAUAUUAUGGUACCAUAAAAGUUUUCUUUUUUCUGGCUUGGGUUCUAAAGAGUUCAAUGAAGAACUAAGCAGCACCUACUUUUCUAUUUAUCUUCAAUUAUUUCCUAGUGUUCUGUGUUGACACUAACAUUCAGCAUAAAACAUUACUAGACACUAGAACCAGAGGAUUUUGGAAUUUUACAUACCAAGAAUAUAGUAUUAAUAGAUUGCCGAUAAUUCAGAGGGGUUAUACUAUUGCUGAGCAUUUUGAAGUUUAAGAAUGAAUCUACAAAAGUAAAAAGUGAUCCAAUAACAACCCAGAGUAAGGUUUAUUUUUUUAAAGCCGAAGGAAAUGAAAUUAUAUCAAUAACUUCCAGAACUUCUGGAAAAAGAUUACAACACCAAAAAGAUACUAUUUGGCCGAAAAGCAUGCCUUAGAAUUAUAAACAACAACACCAAAAAAAAGUCAAAAUAUAUUUUCUAUUUUUAAUAAAUAUCUAAAUUUUAUAUUUCUUUCCUGAUAAAAAAAUUACAUUAAAUCCCUAAUAUAAUAAAAAUUAUUUGUGAUUAAACUUUUCAAAUAGACUAAUAACAAAUGAAAAAUAAUUAUCAUGAAAAAAACACAUAAUUUAUCAUGAACUAAAGCAUAAUAUCAAGAAAAAAAUAAAAUAUUUUGUAUUUUUAUCAGAGAAAAAAAAAGUAUUAAUACUUAAACAUAAAAUUAGAAUAUUUAUUAAAAAUCAUACAAUUAUAUUAGCCUAGAAAAAAAAUAAAGGCAGGCCUCCUACACAAAUUAACACAUGAUGAAAAGAUACAUCUUUGAGGGACCACCAUAUGUAUUUUGCCUCACCACGUGGAGCUUCUACAGUUCACCAGCUGAUUGUCUUCAUAUAAGCAGCGCCAUGAUACAUCAGUAACAAGCAUGAGAAAAGAUAAAGAAACCCAAACCCAUCUUCACUGCUCCCAGCAGCUUUAAUUGAGUAGCUUAAUAAUAAAGAUAAAUUUCAAUUAAAGGGGCGUGGCUAUUUUGCAGCCUUUUUUUAGUUUGGCUCGAUUCCAUUGGAACAUUGGAGGGUGAAGUUAAAAAAAUAUAGUUUUAAUAAAAUAUCGUGUACGAAUGAGAAUUCAUAUACUACUUUUGAGCUGACAAUUUUGACUUUUGAGCUGAUAAUUUUGACUGCGAACAAAUGCAAUUUUUAUUAUUUGCAUAGAGAUAUUUUUUUCAUGUAUUUUUGGGUGUGUUUGUCUCAACUACUUCUACAUUUCAAAAAAUAGUUUUCUACUUAUUUUAAGAAAUAAAUCAUAUCUACUUCUUAAAAAAUACUUAUAUAAAAAGUAUUUAUUUUAAAAUUUAAACAAACUCAUCCUAAAUUACACCCAUUAAAAAUGCUUUUAAAGAAUUUGAUUGGUGUGGUCUACUUUUCCUUCCCAAUUAAUCAAAUUUUUUUCAUCGAAUACAAAAUCUUAUUUUUAGGAUUUGAACUUAGUUUCAUAUAGAUUAUAGACAAACAACAUGUUAAUAAUAUACCAAUAAAUAUACAUUAAAAAUUUUAGUGUUAUGUAUAAUAACAUUAUUUAUUUUAUAAUGUAAUUGGCUUAUUAUCUUAGUUGGUUAGAGUCUUGUGCUAGAAACCUAAAAGUCAUAUGUUCAAAUUCUUAUUUGGGCCAUUAAAUGGAAGCUAAUAUGUGGACCUCAUACGGAUCAAUUGAUUCGUAUCCUUUUAUAAAAGGGUAAAAUGGGAAAAAUGCAAAAUUAGUGGGUGUACCAGCAAUUUCACCCUUUGGUUAGGUAUCACGUUGGGUCUUAGGCUUUCUAUGGGUCAACUGGUCAAGGAAAUUACUUCCUACAUUCCAUUUUUUAUUUCUUGCACCUCCCAAAAAUCCAAGAAGGCAAAACUACCCCUCCAACACCACCACUACCACUGUAGCCCCACCUCCACCCAACCACCAACACGCAAACAGCACCACCCAACACCACCAUUGAUGACUUUGGUGCAAGGAACCAUGUGAAAAUGGAAUCGAAGACCAACGAAGAGGUGUAAAGCACAACCUCAUUCUAGAUACAUGAAUUCGUAAGACACUAAUUUUGUAUACAUUUUUAGAAUACCUAUUCCAGAAUAAUAUUUUUCAUAUUUCAGAAUUUGUAUUUUAGAAUACGUUUUUGGAUUACUUAUUCUUAUUUUGUAAUAUGAAAAUCUUAUUCCAUAACAGGUAUUUCGCAACAGGAAUAAGUAAUCCAAAAAGGUAUUCCAAAAUGUCUAGAAUAUGAAAAUUCAUAUUUUUAGAAUAGGUAUUCAGAAAGUGUAAAAGGCCAAAUUUCUCUUUUUCACACAAAUGGCAAAUCUCACACCCCAUUCGCAUAUGCCCUACUUUAUCCCCUCAUUUCUCACUACAAAUUCCACCGACACCUUCUUCUCCUUCUCCCCUCAUUCCUUUGUUCAUUGAGAUCCAAGGUAUAGACCAAGAAACACUGCCAGCUACAAAUCCCAUGAGGGCACAAUGGUGUUCGGGGUGUGAUUGUGUUGGGGCACAAUGGUUAUGGAGGCUUCAUGGCUAGGAUUUUUUGGGAGAGGCAAGGACACAAGAUGUCUUGGUGAGGGGUAUUCUUGUUUUUUGGGAGAUGUAGGAAGAAAAAAGUGGUGCAAGAAGUAAUUACCACUAAUCAACUAUUAACUUGUGAAAAACUUGUGUACAUGUUUCUGUUGGUUUAGCAAUUGGUAGCAAUGACUAAUUUGAAGCUAUUUAAAAAAAUUAGAGACUAAAAUAAAAUUUCUAAAACAAACAAUCAAACUAAAUCAAAACUAAAACAUAAGAAGGAUAAUAUACGUAAUUUAGCAACAAGAAAAAUUCACUUGACUACAAAAUCAUUUUUUAUCACACUCAUCCAAACAUGUACAGAUGUACUUAAUUUGUCAAGGAUUCAUAUCCAUUUACAACAGUACAAAACAGUACAUGAUCCAUUGUAAAGGCCCAGGAGCUAGAAAAUUUAAAUUAUCAGUGGUAGGCAAAAAAUUCAACCAAAAAUCGUUCAGAACAAUGCGUUGCCAUUAAGUCUUCUAUUAUGGCGAAAAUAUGCGAUACCUUUCAUUGCUACUGAAGAAUUCUGCUGUACUUGUUAGCAGAUACAAUGAAUGGCAAUUUUUCAUAUAACGAGUUCCUUUAACCAUGUCAAUGCUUCCAAUAGUGGUUUGAAUUAAAGGUGUGGUGUACAAUUGUCAUUUGUCACAGCAAACUACUACAAUCAAUCCACACCCUAUGAUGAGAGGACAUUGUGUACUACAAUUGCAAAACAACAAAUAGUCCAUUCCAAUGUAUAUGGUACACAAUUUGGAGACAUUAUUAUCUUGAUAUUUACUCUCUUCUCUUUAAGCAUGUCCCUUCAGUACUGAAAUAUAUUAUUGAAAAGAAAAAGGAAGGUAAGAAAAUUAAAUUAGAGUUUCAUUAGGAGGUAGUGAUGUGAAAAAGAACCUUCCAACAUGCUUAACACAAUAAUUGGUUCACCACAUGCUUACUAAUAAGUAUAGGUCUUAUUAACCAGCUCUUUAGAGAACUUGGUUAAUUUUUUAAAAAAAAAUCAUAUAAAAGUGCAUAUAAAGAAUAUAAAAUAAAGAAGAGCAUUUUAACACAUCUAAAAAAAAUUCUUUUCAUUCCAAAAUUUGACUUAAUUUAAGUUUAAGAAAAUCAGCUUGACGCACCUAAAUUAGUGAGUUGGCGGAUAAACAUACGUACUCACCUUAUUUUCAUAAAAAAACACACAAAAGAAAAAUAAAAAUAAAAAAAUAAGAUAAGUUUAAUGUUUCAAGUUAAACUACAAAAUGCAUAUUACUAAAUUUAAAAUAAGUCAAAUUAAAUGCAUAUGCAAGUCCAAUGUUUAUUAAUUAAAUGAAAAAUAUUAAAAUAAGGAACAUGUUAACCCAAUUUUAACCCAUCUGAAAAUUGCAAGUUAAAUAAAUUGAGUUCAAAUAGCCCCCAAAAAAAGUAAAUUGAUUUUUAGCACCAAGCACCCAAAAUCAAUGUGUAUGCAUAAAAGGUAAAAUGGAGAGGGUUGAAAGGGGAUCCAAUUAAAAUACCAAAGUUAAAGUGUUGUUAUUGCUGGUGCACCCAACAUUUUUUAAAAAUGCCAAAACUGCUCCUGUGUUUUUUUUGUAUUUAUGCUAGGUGUGCAUGAGGGUGAUAUGUAAAUCGUAUGGAUCAAGUUAAUCCGUAAGGUUGAUACGGAUUAAGUUGAUCCAUAAGCUUUUUACGAAUCAAAUUAAUUUGUAGAAAACUUAUAAAUUUUUCACGGAUCAACUUAUAAGACUUAGGGAUAAAGAGUAUUUUAGUCUUUUUUCUUAAUUGCUGAACCUAGCAACACCCAACCUGGAUUGGCACCACUCUUGGAAAACAUAUAAAGCAAGGAAAGAGGCUCCGCUACCCAAUCUUAACCCUCUGAACACACGUUGUCAGUCACUGCCCGUGACCUAUUCCUGCUUCUUUCUUUGGAACUCUCGUCACCCUCUAGUUCCAUACAUUGAUUAUACUAAAAUCUAUUAUUUCUAUACAAAGUAACCAAACCAAAACCCCUCUCUUACAAUGCACAGUCCUGUCAAUAACCAAACCAAAUCCAAAGGGGCAAUAAUAAAGCUGGUCGGGUGUGGAUUUCAAAUAAUCAAAUCAAAUCAAAUUCCUCCAUUCCUCCAAUGAGUUGGCCUCCCGCAAAUUAUGCUCCAAUUACUAGAAAUAAGGUUUAAAUAACCAAGGAUUAAGUAAGAUUAAUUGUUGAAGGACAAGUUCAAGUGUUCAACACCAUGUACUACACAGAACAAAACAUCUGAAUGAGUAAUUAAUGAUAUAUGAAUUAUCAUUUAUUUUAAAUAUUUUAUUUUUUUAUCUUUCUGUCACAUCAUAAGUUAUAUUAUAUCUAUAUUUUUCCUUUUUUUUCCUUCCUAAAUGUUGAAUAAAUUUUUGGAUGUUGAUCAAACAUUUUUUCAUCUGAAUUGAGUUAGAUCUGAAACAGGAUCCAAGUACUUAUAAGGUGAUUUUUAAAGAGAGAAAAGGAGGAAAUAUCAUUAUUUGAAUCCGUUUUAUUAACAAAAUCUAACAACUAAUGUAUAAAAAAAUUAAGCAAAUAAUUACUCUAUUUUUUUAAGUAUUCAUAUCAUUCUUAUCUCUUCCCAACAAAUAUUAUCAUGCAAAAAAUGUUUUUUGGAUCUGCAUCAAUACCCAAAGAUGUGGAUAAAAGAUGUUAAUACAAUCAUUCAGUAAAAAUUUCUUUAUUAUCUUAAAAAUAUUUUUCUUUUGAAUAAUAAAUAUAAUUUUCACAAUUAGUUGAGCGUACUUUGUUUUUCAGAGAUGGUAGAGUGGCCCAGAGAAACUGCACCUCUCAAUGGAUAUGAAUUCAACUUUGAACAAGAUCUAAACAGAACUUCUGAUUUAAUUGACGUGAAAGUGAUGCUUUCUCAAUAGCUGAAUUUUUAAUUGGAAACCUUUUCAUUGGGCACCAAACUAUAAGAGGCCAACUACAUAGGAUAAUCUCAGAUCUCAGUAAGGCAUGCUUCCCAUGUAUAUAUUGGCAGAUAACUGAAAAUGUUGCAUAUCCUUUAAUUUCUAGCCAUUUCAAAUUCUUUGGCAAAACAUAUCUGAGGUUUUGUUUUUUCCAUUAUUAUUGUGUUGUAGGAAAUUGUAGUAUACUUCUCUCUACAAAGGUUAUCCAUUGAUGCAGGGAAUAUUGAGCUGCAGCAAACUAUACACUUCAAAUAAUUUGAUGUUUUACUUUUUUGCCAAAUAUUGUGCUGCAGCAAACUACACACUUACCGUAAUGCAUUAAGGUUUUUUACUUUUUAUAAAUUAAAGCCAACUUGCACACCUAAGAAAAGUAAGAAGUAUUACAAAACAGAUAUAAUACAGCUUUCAUUUAACAUGACUUCAAUCUAAACCAUUGAAUUUUUAAUCAAUAUAUCUACGGUGAAUUUUGAUGAUAGGUACUUCCCCCAGAUUCCACGAUCAAAAAGCAUCCAACCAAGAACAUUGUCAUCCAAAGAGGACAAGACACCUACUACCACUACACUUUUUAAAGUAGCCAGACUUCAAUCUAAACCAUUGAAUUUUUAAUUAAUAUAUUUAACGGUUAAUUUUGAUGGUAGGUACUAGCGCAGAGCGAGUUAAAAGUGAAGAGAGUUGACUAGAAUCAAAUCUCAUCACACCAGUUAACCUUGUCGAAAACCAACCCAGUUUAUUGCAACCAAUUCCUUUCCUUUGUUCUUGACAUCAUGGCUGAGGCAGUUGGUGGUGCAUUCCUCUCUGCUUUCCUUGAUGUUGUGUUCGACAAGCUGUCUACAGAUGAGGUUGUUGACUUCAUCCGUGGAAAGAAGCUUGACCUCAAUUUGCUUGAGAACUUGAAGACCACUCUGAGAGUGGUUGGAGCUGUGCUUGAUGAUGCUGAGAAGAAACAAAUCAAACUCUCCAGUGUCAACCAGUGGCUCAUCGAACUCAAAGAUGCUCUCUAUGAUGCCGAUGACUUGCUGGAUGAAAUUUCUACCAAAUCUGCAACUCGAAAGAAGGUAUGUAAAGUGCUUUCUCGCUUUACUGAUAGGAAAAUGGCCAGUAAGUUGGAAAAAAUAGUUGACAAAUUAGAUAAAGUUUUAGGAGGCAUGAAGGGUCUUCCUUUGCAAGUGAUGGCAGGGGAGAUGAACGAGUCAUGGAAUACUCAGCCAACGACAUCACUGGAAGAUGGAUAUGGCAUGUAUGGUAGGGAUACAGACAAGGAGGCCAUAAUGAAGUUGUUGUUGUCAGAUGAUAGCAGUGAUGGUGUACUAGUGUCUGUGAUCGCUAUUGUAGGCAUGGGUGGGGUUGGAAAAACCACUUUAGCCCGUUCUGUGUUCAACAAUGAGAAUUUGAAGCAGAUGUUUGAUUUAAAUGCAUGGGUUUGUGUUUCUGAUCAAUUUGAUAUUGUUAAGGUCACAAAAACUAUGAUAGAGCAAAUCACGCAAGAGUCAUGUAAAUUGAAUGAUCUAAACUUGCUUCAACUUGAAUUGAUGGACAAACUGAAAGUUAAAAAAUUCUUAAUUGUCUUGGAUGAUGUAUGGAUCGAGGAUUAUGAGAAUUGGAGUAAUCUUACAAAACCAUUUCUACAUGGAAAAAGGGGAAGUAAAAUUCUCUUGACGACCCGCAAUGCAAAUGUAGUGAAUGUAGUCCCUUACCAUAUUGUUCAACUUUAUCCUCUAAGUAAAUUGUCAAAUGAAGAUUGUUGGCUAGUGUUUGCAAACCAUGCAUUUCCCCCCUUAGAAUCAAGUGGGGAGGAUAGAAGAGCUUUAGAAGAAAUUGGAAGGGAGAUUGUUAAAAAGUGUAAUGGAUUGCCUUUAGCAGCACGGUCACUUGGAGGUAUGUUGAGAAGAAAGCAUGCUAUUAGGGAUUGGAAUAAUAUACUUGAAAGUGACAUUUGGGAACUUCCUGAAAGUCAGUGUAAAAUUAUUCCAGCCCUGAGAAUUAGUUAUCAAUAUCUCCCUCCACAUUUAAAACGGUGCUUUGUUUAUUGUUCAUUAUACCCUAAAGAUUAUGAAUUUCGAAAGAAGGACUUGAUCUUGUUGUGGAUGGCUGAAGAUCUUUUGAAGCUUCCAAACAGAGGAAAGGCAUUAGAAGUUGGUUAUGAGUAUUUUGAUGAUUUAGUUUCGAGAUCAUUUUUUCAACGUUCAAGUAAUCAAACUUGGGGCAAUUAUUUUGUAAUGCAUGACCUCGUGCAUGAUCUAGCAUUAUACCUUGGUGGAGAAUUCUAUUUCAGAUCAGAAGAACUUGGAAAAGAAACCAAGAUUGGUAUAAAGACUCGUCAUUUGUCAGUUACAGAGUUCAGUGAUCCAAUCUCAGAUAUUGAAGUUUUUGACAGACUACAAUAUUUGAGAACUUUAUUGGCAAUUGAUUUUAAAGAUUCUUCAUUCAACAAGGAAAAGGCACCAGGUAUUGUAGCGUCGAAGCUUAAGUGCUUGAGAGUUUUAUCAUUUUGUGGCUUUGCAAGUCUGGAUGUUUUGCCUGAUUCAAUAGGUAAAUUGAUCCAUUUGCGUUAUUUAAAUCUCUCUCAUACAAGUAUAAAAACACUGCCGGAGUCAUUGUGUAAUUUGUACAAUCUACAAACUCUGGCGUUGUCUCGUUGCGAAAUGUUGACCAGGUUGCCUACUGACAUGCAAAAUCUUGUAAACUUGUGUCAUCUUCAUAUUGAUCAUACUCCGAUAGGAGAGAUGCCUAGAGGAAUGGGAAUGUUAAGUCAUUUGCAGCAUUUGGAUUUCUUUAUUGUGGGCAAGCAUAAAGAGAACGGAAUCAAAGAACUGGGGACACUUUCAAAUCUUCAUGGUUCGCUUUCUAUUAGGAAUUUGGAGAAUGUAACCAGAAGCAAUGAAGCAUUGGAGGCUAGGAUGAUGGAUAAGAAGAACAUUAAUCAUUUAUCGUUGAAAUGGUCUAAUGGCACCGACUUCCAAACUGAAUUAGAUGUACUGUGCAAAUUAAAACCUCACCCAGGCCUGGAAUCUCUAUCGAUAUCGGGUUAUAAUGGAACCAUAUUUCCAGAGUGGGUGGGAAAUUUUUCCUACCACAACAUGACAAGUCUAAGUUUACGUGGUUGUAAUAACUGUUGUGUGCUUCCUUCGCUUGGGCAACUACCGUCUCUUAAGGAGCUCUAUAUUUCAAGAUUGAAGUCAGUGAAGACUGUUGAUGCAGGGUUUUACAAAAAUGAAGAUUGUCCUUCUUCUGUGACACCCUUUUCUUCCCUUGAAACUCUAUCCAUUGCUGACAUGUGUUGCUGGGAGUUGUGGAGUAUCCCUGAGUCAGACGCCUUUCCUCUACUCAAGUCUCUUACAAUAUGGAAUUGCCCCAAACUAAGGGGAGAUUUGCCAAAUCACCUUCCUGCUCUGGAAACACUUACAAUUACAAAUUGCGAGCUUCUUGUCUCUUCCCAAGGGCUCCCACCCUUAACAGAUUAGAAAUACAUAAAAGUAAUAAUGUAUCGUUGAGUCCAAUGGUGGAGUCCAUGAUCGAGGCCAUCACCAGCAUCGAGCCAACUUGCCUCCAACAUUUAACAUUGAGGGAUUGUUCGUCAGCCAUAUCUUUUCCGGGUGGUCGUCUACCUGCAUCUCUGAAGGAUCUGCAUAUCAGCAAUCUUAAAAAUCUGGAAUUCCCGACCCAACACAAACACGAUUUACUGGAAUCACUGUCACUACACAAUAGUUGUGAUUCUCUCACGUCUCUUCCAUUGGCUACCUUUCCAAAUCUCAAAAGUCUCAAAAUUGGAAACUGUGAACAUAUGGAAUCUCUUUUGGUUUCAGGGGCAGAGUCAUUUAAGAGUCUGUGUUCUUUGACAAUUUUCCGAUGCCCCAACUUUGUAUCAUUCUGGAGAGAAGGAUUGCCUGCGCCUAAUUUGACUCAAAUUGAAGUUUUAAAUUGCGACAAGUUGAAGUCCUUACCUGACAAAAUGAGUAGUCUUUUCCCAAAGUUAGAAGUUCUCAAAAUAUCCAACUGCCCAGAAAUUGAGUCGUUUCCAGAAGGGGGUAUGCCACCUAACCUGAGAACAGUUUCGAUUGAGAAUUGUGAGAAACUAAUGAGCGGCCUAGCGUGGCCAUCCAUGGGCAUGCUUACUGAUCUCAGUGUUUGGGGUCGAUGUGAUGGCAUCAAGUCAUUCCCUAAGGAGGGUUUGCUGCCUCCCUCCCUUACGUCUUUGAAGCUAUAUGAGUUUUCAAAUCAGGAGAUGUUGGACUGCACGGGGCUUCUCCAUCUCACAUCCCUGCAAGAAUUAACCAUAAGGGAAUGUCCUUUGCUGGAGAAUAUGGUGGGAGAAAGGCUUCCUGUCUCUCUAAUAAAAUUAACCAUAAGCGGAUGUCCUUUGCUGGAAAAACAAUGCCGCAGGAAGCACCCUCAAAUUUGGCCUAAAAUAUCCCACAUCCGUCACAUUAAAGUUGACAGUAGAUUGAUUUAGUGACCAAGGAUGAGCACCGGGUAAUUCUCCUUCUUUGACCUACUUCAUCGUCUUCUAAGUCUAACCAAACAAAACUAUUUCAGUCAAGGAUAUCUUUCUUUUCAUGUCUUUUUAUUCUCACAGUUAAUUUAUUCAUUUCAUUCAACAAGUGUUAUUACCCUGAAGAAAUGUUAUUAAUCAAUGCCAUUGUAUUUGAACUUUCUCAAUAUAUCGGCAAUCAUGGUGGUUGUUUCAUCUUGUUACAUUCUCUGUCAGUGUUCAAAGUGUAAUUGGGUGUACUUUGUUUUUCAGAGAUGAUAGAUUGUCCUGUAGAAACUGCACCUGUCAAUGGAUAAGAAUUCAACUUUGACGUGACACCAGAAAGCUCAUAUUUAUGCGUGUAAAGCUGAUCUUCCAGGGCAAAAGGAGGAGGAAGCGAUGGCGCAGUCAGCUGAUGGCAAAGUGUUUAAGAUUGUUCCAUGUCACCAUCUGGAGCAUAGCACCAGCAACUCCCUGAGCAUACGGGCCUUAAGCCAUGACUUGACUGGUUCAGAUAGGUAAUAAUUACUGAAUUCAAGACACUAAUGCUUCUUAUUCUAUGAGGGUUCAUAUAAAAUUGACAAGGGUUUAGAUCUUGCUAGUAAUACCAAGGAUUCGUGAACCAACUUAACAAUCACACCAUGGAUGAUUUGAAAUAACAAAAUAAAUUGCAGUUCCUGUCUAACAUCUCUAGGAAAUUUUCCAGAACAUAAGUUCAACAAGGAAAACAAAGAAGAUAGAAAAAAUAAGACAAUGUUGUUUUCUUCUUAAUCUUAUAUUUUAUUGUUCCUCCCAUGCCUUGCAUCAAUUUUGUAACCUAUGUGAAACUUGGAUGAUUUAAAACACAAUAAUUACAAUGAACAAGGAAUAGAAACUAGAUCGUCUUGGGUAGGAGAUUGUGGUCUAUCUGAGAAGCAAAGUCCUGAUUUCAGUCUUUAACUAGAAUUCAUCAAGCUUAUCAUUCUCUAAGCUGAUUUAUUAGGCAAUUGUCUUUGUUCUUUCUCAUUCUUGUUUCUUAUUUCCCUCUAAAUUGGGCUCAGAGCUUUGUUCUUACUCAUUGUUUCUUAUUUUCCUUUAGAUCAUAUUUUCAAAAGUUGUUCAUGUCAUUGCAUGCAAUGUUUGCUUUCACCCAAAGGGGUGGCUUUGAUCAAAUUGACAAGGAUGAUUCCAACCUACCUCUGGAUACAGCUCCUAUUAAGCAUGUCACGCAGGUAUGCUGUCACAUAAUUGAAAAGUGUUAUCAUGGCUCUAACUACUUGUUAUAAAUUCUCUGCCACUACAAGUUUUCAUCCGAGUUGGGUUAUUAUUUUUUUUAUCUUUCAUCUUUUGUGAAUUUUCGUUUUUAGUUUCAUGAUUUUUUUGUCUUUUUUUAGUCCCAAAAAAAAUAUUGUUUUAUUUUUUGUUCUGAAUAUAUUUAGAAUUUUUUAGGGACUAAAAAUGAAACAAAAAAAUUGAGGGACUAUAAACAAAAAAAAAUUUAUAGACUAAGACCCGUCAAAAGAUUAAGAAGGACUAAAACAGUCACAAAAGACGAGAGACUAGCAAGUUAAAUAAAUCCUAUUGAUAUUAUUUUAUUAAUAUUGUGCUACAGGAAAUUUUAAAUUUACAAUUUAUAUUAUAAUACAAAAAUAUUUAUCUUUAUUUAUAUUCUUUUGAAAAUAUUGAAAUUCAAUUUAAAAAUAAGUAUGAAAAUGAAAAAUUAAACAGAGAUAAAAGUUUUAUAAAAAAUUUUAAAAUAUCUUGUUGAAAAAAAACUAAAAAUACUUUAGUUGAAGAAUAACUCUUAAAAAAAUAUUUUCCGAUACAAGAAACUCAUUUCAUUUCAGAUAAAACUAUAAAAAUUUACUAUAAAAAAAGGCAACUAAUGCGUUUAUCUGUUACUCACAACACAACUAAAAUAUAACUGUGGACUUAAGUUUUUCGAUUCGACAUUAACUACAAAUAAAAAACAGUAUUAGUUAGAUAACGAUCAUUUUAAUCUAAAAUAGAACUGAGCCAGUUUAAAUACUUAACUUACAAUCCAAAUUAAGUCUGUGGUGACAAUUGCAAACAAAUUAAAAACUGAAAUACUACUACACAUAAAAGACAAAGCCCCAACAUUUUUUUAAAUUUCAAUUCAAGGUUUAAUCAUCCAAUUUUUCUCAUAAACGCAGACUUCUUCCUUGCAUGCAUGCAAUUUUUCCUUCCCUUGUUUUCUCUAGGACAAAAGUUAUCACAGUGCAUACGUGACAAUCUACCCUCAAAACUCUCAGCAUCAAUCAAACAGUCACAAGAAAAGGCCAUAAAACACUACGAUGCUAAUGCCACAAAAUGGUGGCAGUCGUGGUGAUGUCCAUGUUGAGGAUAACCAAAACAUGUCCUUUCCGUCGUGGGAGGGAACCUUUAUGAGGUGCUUCACUGCAAUAGAUGAAAAGCUUGCUAAGAACAUUGACACUGAUGGAUUUCAUGGCGGUAGCACUUCUGUAUCUGUACUCAAACAGGUAUAACUAGACCUUCACAAUUACAUUACCUUCUUGCCAAUGUUGCUUUUGCAAUUAUGUUUUUUCUUUUUUUGUGAAUACUUUUGCAACAAUGUUAUAACCACAUCUUUUUCCCCCUUUAAAUUUCAGGGUGAGCAAGUAAUAAUUGGCAAUGUGGGGGAUUCUCGUGCAGUUCUUUGCAGAAGAGCACCUGACAAUCACCUUAUUCCUGUUCAACUUACUGUUGACUUGACUCCAGAUAUUCCAAGUAUUGUUGACUUGACUCCAGAUAUUCCAAGUAUGUUUUGGUAUUACCUAUUCUUAGUUUCCAAAUCUUACAACCCUUUUUAGUUUAUUUGGUUAAAUUGUCUAAUUAAGCCAUAUUCAUUAAGAACUUAUUAGAUGAGAGCUUCUUUCAGGACUUGUUUGGGUAAGUUUAUUGAUAGGGAGAAGGGCGUACAUGAGGAAGAAGCAAGAAGGAUGUACACGAGGAAGAAGCAGGGGUGUCCAGCUGGCAUGAGGAUAGUGGGUGUAUCAAAUAUGUUGUCUGCCACCACUCCUAGCACUAAUAAUUUGUUAGGAUUUCUGUUGUAAGAACAUUCUAGUAUAUCAGCCAAGUUCUAUAUAUAUGGUGAUGGGUGUAAUCCAGAUUAUGGAAAAAAAGAAUAUUGCCUUUACCUUGAAUUGUUCUUUUUCUCCCUUAUUCUCUGGAGGUACUGACCCUCGAAGUCAGCUAGUUUUUCCCUGCACGUAACAAUUUGGUGCUUUCAUUGAGAGCCCAUGGCCGCCUUCCAUGGCUGCCAUAGCCAUUUGCACACACCUUCGUUGCUGCACACCCCUCCUCCCUUUGCACAUCCAACUCAAUUCCUUGGGAUUGAUUUUGAAAGUACCCGCCAACGGUUGCUGAGUUUGUUCGAUUCUGAGAGGACCCCUCCUUCAUUUCAACAACCACCAUACGAAGCUUCCAUGGCUGUCGUCCAUGGCUGCCACUUGCCGUACGGAGCUUCAAUAUUCUACUGAAUGGCCAUAAGCUACUUCUACAAGUCCAAAUAAGUUUUAUGAAAUUCUUCCUAAUGUCCCUUGGUCUGUGUCUAACUAGCUUUUCUUCCUCAAUGUCACUCAGGAGAAGCUAUGAGAAUUUUUGCUGUAGAAGAAGAUCCUACUGUAAACAGAGUAUGGAUGCCUAAAAGGGACUGCCCUGGACUGGCUAUGGCAAGGGCCUUUAGAAAUUUUUGCCUAAAAGACUAUGGUGUCGCCUCAGUCCCUGAUGUGUCUUAAAGAAAACUUACCAAGAAGGAUAAGUGUGUGGUUUUGGCUUCUGAUGGGGUAAGCAUUUUCAUAUCAGGAUGUCAACUUCGAAUUAUGGAUUUUGAUUCUUGAGUAAUCAGUUAUAGGAACAGAACAAUCAUUAUUAGUGUUUAAGUUAUGCUCAAUUCUCGU